GCCGGGGAUGAAGGUGCGGGUCAGCCACCGGACCGGGAAGGGCGACCGGAUCGUGUCCUGGAGAUCCCCCGAUGACCCGGCGCCGGGGCGCUUCUCCUACGGCCUGGACCCCGGCACGUCGCUGCAGCUGCUCAUGUGGAACGGCACGCGCCCCUACUGGCGCAGCCCCGUCUGGAAGGGGUACGCCGUCGCCACCAUGUACGUCAGCGCCGGCACGGUGAUCUACACGGCGAUAGUCGACACGGACGAGGAGAUCUCCUUGGCCUUCUCCGUCUCCGGCGGCGCCGCGCCCACGCGGUACGUGGUGACCAGCUCCGGCAAGUUCCAGCUGCUCAUCUGGAACGGCACCAGGUCGGCCUGGGCCACGCUCCAGUCGUGGCCCUCCAGCGAAUGCACCACGUACAGGCACUGCGGCGCGUACGCCUACUGCGACACCACGGCGGCGCCGGCGACGUGCAGGUGCCUCGACGGCUUCGAGCCUGCUAAACCGGCAGAGUGGACCUCCGGCAGGUUCGGGCAGGGUUGCCGACGGAAGGAGGCGCUGCCGCCGUGCGGCGGCGGAGGCGGCGGCAAUGGGGUGGGUUUCAUAGCCAUGCCCAGCAUGAAGGUGCCGGACAAGUUCUCGCUGGACGCUGGCAACCGGAGCGCGGAGGAGUGCGCGGCGAGGUGCGCCGGCAACUGCUCGUGCGUGGCGUACGCGUACGCCAACCUGCAGAGCAGCAGCGCCAAGGGGGACGUGAGCCGGUGCAUCGUGUGGGCAGGGGAGCUCGUGGACGCGCAGAUGAUCGACCCGCGCUGGGGCGGCGAGACCCUCUCCCUCCGCGUGCCCGCCGCUGCCGCUUCCACUUCCCCAGGUACGGCAGAAAUAUAUUCCUUUUGCCAAACUUUGUCUGAAUUCUCUUGAAGAAUUCAAAAAAAAACAUGCUCUCUGCCGAAUUCGAAUUCAGUUUCAUCAAACGUUUACCAUAUAUUUGCAUGUUCAGGUGGAAAGGCCAGCAGAAAUGCAGUGAAAAUAGCAGUGCCGGUGGUAGCAUCUGCCCUGCUGCUCACAUGCAUUUUCUUUGUAUGGUUCUGCAGAUACAGAGGUACCGUUGCAUUUUAUGCUUACCUCUAGCCAAAACAUGCCAUGCCCAACCAUUUCGUUUCGUUCUUAGACAAGACGCUCAUCACUCAUCACAACAAUUGAAAAUUGAUACAGACAAGAGAAGGAAAACCGAGAGCCAGAAGAAGCUAAUGCCCGGGAUCAGGACCGGGACCACAAACACGUCGAGCGAGAUCGGAGAAGGAGAUCGCACCGGAGACCUUGAGUUCCCCUCCAUAGGAUUCGGCGACAUCGUCGCCGCCACGGACAACUUCUCCAAGACACUCAUGAUCGGCCGCGGAGGCUUCGGCAAGGUCUACAAGGUACUAGCUCCAUUCACUUUGUCUAGCUAGAAAAGUUCGGUCGUUGCGACCAACAAUUUAAACCCCUAGAACAGAGUCAUGAUCUCACACAUUCCACUUGUUUGUGUUUGUCAUUCCGAAGGGAACAUUAGACGGUGGUCAUGUGGUAGCAGUGAAGAGGCUGAGCAAGGAUUCGGAUCAGGGAGCAGAGGAGUUCAAGAACGAGGCGAUCCUGAUCGCCAAGCUGCAGCACCGGAACCUGGUGCGCCUCCUCGGCUGCUGCACCGAGGGGGGCGAUAAGCUGCUCAUCUACGAGUACCUGCCCAACAAGGGCCUCGACGCCAUCCUCUUCGGUACAUACUAUGUUCAGCGAACUCAAAUAUACAACUGAAGGUUUCUUGCCAUGGUUUCUGAAGUUCAGAUGUUGCAGACAGUGGGAGGAAGUCGGUGUUGGACUGGCCGACGCGGCUGGGGAUCAUCAAGGGGGUGGCCAGGGGGCUGCUCUACCUCCACCAGGACUCCAGGCUGACUGUGAUACACAGGGACCUCAAGGCCAGCAACGUGCUGCUGGACGCCGAGAUGCGGCCCAAGAUCGCCGACUUUGGCAUGGCCAAGAUCUUUGGUGACAACCAGGUGAAAGCCAACACCCGGAAAGUCGUCGGAACAUAGUGAGUAGCCUGACCACCUGACUGAAUUUUCUGAAAGAAACGAAAAAAUAUAUUUUUGUUCUGAGUUGGUAGUUAGCAUUUGAUCGAAAAAUACCCUAGCAAAAUGUGAUACCUCUUCUGACGAAAAAGUAUAAUGUGUGAACAGUGGCUACAUUGCUCCCGAGUACUCGACGGAGGGCGUCUUCUCAGACAAGUCCGACGUGUACAGCUUCGGCGUGCUGCUCCUGGAGAUCGUGAGCGGUAUCAGGGUAAGCGCGACCGAGGGCAUCAUGGAGUUUCCAAGCCUGAUAUCCUAUGUAAGGACCUCAACAAAAACUAACAGCUCCAUCUUGCAGUUAACUUCCAUUUUCAGAUACACUCAAUGUCAACAAAAGAACAUGCACAAAUGGUUGAUUUUUUGUGUGUGUUUCGUGUAGGCAUGGCACCUGUGGAGAGAAGGGAAGGCAGGCAAGCUGGUGGAUCCAUCCAUGGCAGGGAGCUGUUCACAGGAUGAGGCUUCGCUGUGCAUCCACGUCGGGCUCCUGUGCGUCGAGGACGACCCGAGCAGGAGGCCGCUCAUGUCCUCCGUUGUGUCCAUCUUGGAGAACGGGAGUGCGUCGGCGUUGUCCCUGCCGACGCCGGUGCAGCCUGCUUUUGUCGAAAUGAUGGGAGAGAAGAGCCAGAGAAGCGACCUCGAGAACACCAGGAACACAAUGGCCAUGACCGUUCUGCAAGGUCGGUAGUACGGUAGUUACUGCAACUUUCUUCAGAAGGAAGCUGCACUAGUCCUAGUGUUCCAUAUGAUUUACUGAGGAAAAACCCAAAUUUGUAGAGCAUUCGUUACAGAUCUAAACGAAAGACGCAUUUCAGGAGUGUUGAGUUGAUCAGCCUUGAAAUGGAUGGUAUGAUUGUCUUGCUGAGAUUGAAACGUUUAACAUGUUGGACUGAAAAUUAUUGAGACAAGUUAUAUAUACAUUAGACAUUCAGAGCAACUCUAACACGCCGACACAUUUCGUCUGCCUGCGUUCGUUUGGUUCGCGGCGGACAGAAGUGAGGCCUAACGCGUUGACCCAAACCCCAAACACAUCUGUUUCGCAUCCGUGCAGAUCCAUUUCAGGUCCAAAAUUGCGCGUGAAAUGCGUCGGCGCACACACGAAGCGGACGCGCCGCACGACCAGCGGCGUCGGCCGCAGUCCCACUUCGCGGCCCCCAACUACCACCCGCCGUCAAAUUUAGGACGACCACCGCCACCAGGUCCACUAGUCCGCCAGUGAAAGCGUCCUUUUUUACGUCCGACUUCCGUCCACAUCAGCCCCCCACCACCCACUUCGUGCUUCCCCGUUGGCGACAACCCAAGCCCUAGCUAUGGGGUUCUUUGGUAGCAGCUCCGGCAGCGACAAGGGCAUGGGCACCCCCGGCGCCUCAUCCACCCGUGCUCCUCCUCCUCCGCCUUCGGCACCUACCCGCUCAUACACAGGUCGCCAGCGUCUGCACAUCCCCGUGCAUCAAGCGCGGUGGCACUGGGUGUUCAGACAGCCGCUGCCAUACCCGAACGUCACGCUGCCGCACCACCGGCACCUUGAUCCGUAGCGGAUCCCGGUGCCAGCGGUGCCGCAGACACAACGGGCGCACGACAAGGAGGUGCGCAGGGGCCGGGUGUUGGGGAACGUCGCAUGGGAAACAAAAAUUUUCCUACGCGCACGAAGACCUAUCAUGGUGAUGUCCAUCUACGAGAGGGGAUGAGUGAUCUACGUACCCUUGUACAUCGUACAGCAGAAGCGUUAGAGAACGCGGUUGAUGUAGUGGAACGUCCUCACGUCCCUCGAUCCGCCCCGCGAACAAUCCCGCGAUCAGUCCCACGAUCUAGUACCGAACGGACGGCACCUCCGCGUUCAGCACACGUACAGCUCGACGAUGAUCUCGGCCUUCUUGAUCCAGCAAGAGAGACGGAGAGGUACAAGAGUUCUCCGGCAGCGUGACGGCGCUCCGGAGGUUGGUGAUGAUCUUGUCUCAGCAGGGCUCCGCCCGAGCUCCGCAGAAACGCGAUCUAGAGGAAAAACUAUGGAGGUAUGUGGUCGGGCAGCCGUGAGAAAGUCGUCUCAAAUCAGCCCUAAUUGCUCCAUAUAUAUAGGAGGAGGGAGGGGGACCUUGCCUUGGGGUCCAAGGGACCCUCAAGGGGUCGGCCGAGCCAAGGGGGGGAGGACUCCCCCCCCAAACCGAGUUGGACUUGGUUUGGUGGAAGGAGUCCCCCUCCCUUCCCACUUCCUCCCUCUUUUUUUUCUUUUCCUUUGAUUUCCUUUUCUUGGCGCAUAGGCCCCCUUGGGGCUGUCCCACCAGCCCACUAAGGGCUGGUGUGUCUCCCCAAAGCCUAUGGGCUUCCCCGGGGUGGGUUGCCCCCCCCCCCCCCCCGGCGCCCCCCGGCCUUCGUUUCCGGACCAUUUCGGAAACCCUCGUGACGUCCGUGAUCUCAUCCGGGACUCCGAACAACAUCCGGUAACCAACCAUAUAACUCAAAUACGCAUAAAACAACGUCGAACCUUAAGUGUGCAGACCCUGCGGGUUCGAGAACUAUGUAGACAUGACCCGAGAGACUCCUCGGUCAAUAUCCAAUAGCGGGACCUGGAUGCCCAUAUUGGAUCCUACAUAUUCUACGAAGGUCUUAUCGUUUGAACCUCAGUGCCAAGGAUUCAUAUAAUCCCGUAUGUCAUUUCCUUUGUCCUUCGGUAUGUUACUUGCCCGAGAUUCGAUCGUCAGUAUCCGCAUACCUAUUUCAAUCUCGUUUUACCGGCAAGUCUCUUUACUCGUUCCGUAAUACAAGAUCCCGCAACUUACACUAAGUUACAUUGCUUGCAAGGCUUGUGUGUGAUGUUGUAUUACCGAGUGGGCCCCGAGAUACCUCUCCGUCACACGGAGUGACAAAUCCCAGUCUUGAUCCAUACCAACUCAACUAACACCUUCGGAGAUACCUGUAGAGCAUCUUUAUAGUCACCCAGUUACGUUGCGACGUUUGAUACACACAAAGCAUUCCUCCGGUGUCAGUGAGUUAUAUGAUCUCAUGGUCAUAGGAAUAAAUACUUGACACGCAGAAAACAGUAGCAACAAAAUGACACGGUCAACAUGCUACGUCUAUUAGUUUGGGUCUAGUCCAUCACGUGAUUCUCCCAAUGACGUGAUCCAGUUAUCAAGCAACAACACCUUGUUCAUAAUCAGAAGACACUGACUAUCAUCGAUCAACUGGCUAGCCAACUAGAGGCAUGCUAGGGACGGUGUUUUGUCUAUGUAUCCACACAUGUAAAUGAGUCUUCAUUCAAUACAAUUAUAGCAUGGAUAAUAAACUAUUAUCUUGAUACAGGAAUUAUAAUAAUAACUAUACAUUUAUUAUUGCCUCUAGGGCAUAAUUCCAACACCGGGUGCAACUCACCCUGGCGUAGCGGCACAUGCCCGGGUACGCCGCAAACUCUCUCCCAAUCUGGUGGCCUGGUUCGUCAUCGAACACAAGGAGCCACGGCGCCUAGGCGUGCAGCGUCACCACGGCAACCCCCCGCCUCCCCCUAUCGCCAAGCAAGACGAGGAGGAAGACGAGGUGGCGUACCAGUCGCGUUGGAGGAGGCCUUCGCCAACUCCAUCGAGGAUAAGCGAUGAAAGGCCGAAGUGGCGGCGGAGGAGGUCGCGUACGAGGCGGAGAUGGCGGAGGCCAUGGCCCUCUCUGCAGCAGGCGACGGUGUGGUGCCUCCGUCGCCGUCGCGGCCCCCGACAAGGAAUCGAGAGAGGAAGAGAAUGUGUGCGCCCGCGUCGCCGCAUUGCCUUCACUGCAGCAGAUGCCGGAGGAGGCAACCCUCAUGGCCUAUCCAUCCGCAUUCGGUUGGGUUGGACACCUUCCGUCUUCAUCAACGUCACCGCGAUGACGAUGAUGACGUCUAGGGCUGUGUGCAGGCCGCCAACGUCUAAGGCCGCAUGCCGCCGCACCAACGUCUAGGGCUGCGUGCGGGCAUCAACUUCAAUUUUUUGUUUUUAUGAAUGUUUAAAUUUAGUUUAAAGUGGAAUUUGGCAGACGGUUGACAAGCGAGUCUUGAAUUCGUAUUUACUUUAAAGUAGACUUUGGACGUGCGCACAAAUUUAGGUCCACCUCCCGUUGAACGCUCAAGCCGACCUAUAUAAAAAAGCGGACGCAGACGUCCGCCUAACCGAUCCAAGCGGACAAAAGAAGGACAAAAGCGUCUUGGUAAUAUAUUUGAUUUAUUUGGUAAUAUAUUUGAUAGACAGCGUCUCUCUUCUUCUUUUUUACAUCUUAGAGAAACACUAGCUCAUCCUUGGUAAUAUAUUUGAUUUAUUUAUUCUAUGAGUAGAAUUAUUGUGGUUUAUGGUUAGUUAGUGUUUAGUGAAUAGUCAUUCUUUGAAAUACAGGACGAGACCGUUCAUUUACGCUGAGGUUUCUGCUGAGGCGACGGCGAAGCGUGAACGCGAAUUUAUUGAGAGAAAAAUGAACCACUGGGUGACAGCUGUUGAUGCGUUGAAUGCGACGUGUAAAACCUUUUCAAACUAGUAUUUUUGUAAGAACGCUGUGAAAAAUUUAAUCAAUAAAAAGGAGAGUGAGAUCACCAAGCUCAAAAAAACGAAAAAAGAUUGUAGGCGCGAUCUUGCAAUGCAAGUUGCAUUCUGUGCAACAAGGGAAGAACAUGAGCACUUUAACAUGAACAACCAUGGUCAGGUCAUUGAUUGGUUAGUGAGGCACCUUUUUUUGUUGGAACCGAAGCAGGCAUCUCGUUGGGCAUGGGUCAAAGUAAGAAAUGAUGUUCUUUGCUGCAAUCCGGGACCUUACGCCAAAUAAAAUGUCUGUUCAUUACCAUGAGCCUAUGUAAUCUUUGUCAUUUGAGACUAUAAUGCCAUGUACCCAUUUGCAUAACUUGUUCUCGUUUGAACUAUGAAAUCUUUAUCAUUUGAACUCCGUGAAGAUAUUGGUGUUGUAUGUCAUAUUGAACUAUGUAAUCUUUGUGAUGUUCUAUUGUUUGAACUCCAUAUUGAACUAUGUAAUCUGUGUGAUGUUUUAUUGUUUGUUCACAAAUUAAAUAUAACAUAUCAAGUGCAUUUUACUUCACUUCACGACAAGUUCACAAAUUAAAUAUAACAUAUCAAAUGCGCUUCAUUUCAUUUCACGAAAAGUUCACAAAUUAAAUAUAACAUAUCAAGUGCACUUUACUUCAGUUCACGACAAGUUCACAAAUUCUUCAGAGACAGCUAAUCCCAAAAAAUUAUGUGACGGCUAAUAAGGCUGGUUGUAAUAUAGAGUUAUCGUGCAUACGAUGUUAGUGUAUGAUAAUACAUUCUGAAUGCAUAGUACUCCCGCUGUCAUAGUUUAGAAGGCAUGUACGUGUAUCUAGAUCGUCAAUUUAACUUAUAUAAAAUAUAUGUUUAACAUAAAAAUUAUAUAAUUCGAAAAUAAAACAUCUAAAGUUUCUAAUGAUAUAUUUUUGUUAUAUAUGUCUCUCAUUAACUUGGUCAAAUUAAUGACCUAGAUACAUGUGUCGGACAUGUAAACUCAGACGGAGGAAGUAUCAUAAGAUAGUUUAUUUAUUGUCAUGCAUGACACAUAGUAGAACAUCGUUUAAUACGAUAUUAUGUUUUACUAUGUCUGAUAUUUAAUCUUCUCUUUAUUUAUUUAAUUAUAUGAAAUCUCAUUAGAAUUAUCUAGUUGACAUGUAUAAUACUCCCUCCGUUUCUAAAUAUAAGUAUUUUAAGCGAUUUCACUAGGGGUCUACAUACGGAACAAAAUGAUUGAAUGUAUGCUUUAAAGUAUGUCUAUAUACAUCCGUAUGUAGUCUAAUAGCGAAACCUUUAAAAAGACUUAUAUUUAGAAAGGGAGUAGGUACUUAUGAUAUUUUCGUUAUAACCAGCCUAACAUUGCCGCUCUCAAAAGUUUUCAUGCAUACUAUCCAUGUCACUUCAAUGUCUAUACGAAUUCAUUUACCUGUUUUGUCGGCCCGUAGCGUUUGUUGGGCAAGGUAGGUCGAGUUAAGAACUUGCGCGUAGGUAAAACGCGCACACACAGGAGACAACCAGACUCACCAGUUCACCUGUUCCCAUGCGCACUGCACUUCCCUGCAGGGUCCACGCUGAAACUAGUCAAUAUGAACUCGCCAAGUCGCGUCGCCGUGUGGCUAGGCUAGCUACAAUGGCGACAUCGCCUUCCGGACAAGAAGGAUCACGUAUGUACCGCCCACAGAAACGUCAAGGCGCUUUCCAAAAAACAAAGAACGUCGCCCGAGGGUAAUAAUGUGCAUCGGCGCACCGUGAACUUGAUCGAUGGACCUGUCACGUUCUGCCGUCCUCGUCCUCGCCGUCGCCGUCGCCGUCUUCCUCCUGUGCGCGUCCGCCGAGGACCAGCUGGCCGUGGGGGAUAAGCUCCUGGCUGGGCAGUCCCUCGUGUCCGCAGGCGGCGCCUUCGCUUUCGGCUUCUUCUCCCCUGACGACGCCGCCGGCACGGCCACACGGUGGUACCUCGGCAUAUGGUACAACGGCAUCCCCGGGCCUCGCACCGUCAUCUGGGUGGCCAACCGGGACGCCCCGGCCGCCGGCGCCCCGACGCUCACGCUGGCCAACGACUCCCGCCUCGUCAUGUCCGACGCCGACGGUCGCGUGCUCUGGAACACGACCGUCGCGAGCAGUUCGUCGUCGCAGACGCCCACGGCGGCCGUGCUGACGAACGGGGGCAACCUGGUCGUCCAGGGAGCGAACGACGCCGCGUUGUGGCAGAGCUUCGACCACCCAACGGACACGUUCGUCCCGGGCAUGAAGAUGCGGCUGAGCCACCGGACGGGCAAGGGCGACCGCAUCGUGGCUUGGAAAUCCCCCGGCGACCCGGCGCCGGGGCGCUUUUCCUACGGCCUGGACCCCAGCACCUCGCUGCAGCUGAUCAUGUGGAACGGGACGCGCCCCUACUGGCGCACUCCCAUCUGGCAGGGGUACGCCGUCGCCGCCAUGUACGUCAGCGCCGGCACGGUCAUCUACACCGCGAUCCUCGACACGGACUUGGAGAUCUCCAUGGCCAUCACCGUCUCCGACGGCGCGGCGCCGACGCGGUAUGUGGUGACAAGCUCCGGCAGGUUCCAGCUGCUCAGCUGGAACGGAACCCUGUCGGCGUGGGCCACGCUCCAGUCGUGGCCAUCGAGCGGGUGCGGCGCAUAUAGUCGCUGCGGCGCAUACGGGUACUGCGACGUCACAUCGGCGCCCGCGGCGUGCAGGUGCCUGGACGGCUUCGAGCCGGCGAGCGCGGCGGACUGGAGCGCCGGCAGGUUGGAGCAGGGGUGCCGGCGAAAGCAGGCGCUGCCGCCAUGCGGCGGCGUCGGGGUAGGUUUCGUGGCGAUGCGGAGCAUGAAGGUGCCGGACAAGUUCUCGAUCGACUCCAGCAACCGGACCGCGGGGGAGUGCGCGGCCAGGUGCGCCGCAACCUGCUCGUGCGUGGCGUACGCGUACGCCAACGUGCAGAUCAACAGCGCCAAGGACGAACUGAUCCGGUGCGUGGUGUGGUCAGAGGAGCUCGUCGACGCGCAGAUGAUCGACGCGCGCUGGGGCGGCGAAACGCUCUACCUCCGCGUGGCCGAAAUUGAUGAUGCCUCCACAGGUAGAGGUAGUAGAGCAGAAACACACUUGUUUCUUUUGCCCAACUUCAUCUGUUGAAUCUUUAGUCUCUACCGAAAUCAACCCAAACAAAUUUGCCAGUGCCGGUGUUAGCCCUGCCCAACACAGGUAGAAAGUCCAGCAGAAAUGCGGUGAAGAUAGCCCUGCCGGUGUUAGCAUCCCUCCUGCUGCUCACAUGCACUUUCUUUGUAUCGUUCUGGAGAUUCAGAGGUACAGUUGUAUUUUUCUUCCUUUUUUUUUCUUUAUUAACUCUGAACAUGGCGUGCUCGACCAUUCUUUCAUACACACACACACACACAAAAAAAAAGCUCACAAGCACCAAUGUCGCAGUCAAGGGAAGAAAAACCGAGAGCCAAAAUAAGAACAAGUCGGGCAAAAUCGGAGGAGAUCACACAGAAGACCUUGAGUUCCCGUCCAUACGGUUCGCCGACAUUGUCAUCGCCACGGACAACUUCUCCAAAACACUCAUGAUCGGACGCGGAGGGUUCGGGAAGGUCUACAAGGUACUACUUCUACUCAGAUUUGCUAAAUUUCAGUCACCUGAAAUUUUCUGUUCUGUUAGCUUAGCAGUUUUUUUUUAAAUCAGGGGCCUCGCCCGGCUCCAUUUUCAUUAUCAAAGAGAGGCAAAUUUUUCCAUUAGUGGUUGUUAGACUGUGUAUUUGUAUAGCUUUCGUAUAUACCCCUGUAUGUAUACCCCUUAUAGAUAUAAGAUAGCUACACCCGUAUUGGAUGUCGAGCAGUUUUCAUCAAACAUUGUUUUACAUGGUAUCAGAUUAGGUUAGAUCGUUUUUCCACUUUCACAGUUCCACUGUCGCCGCCGCCUCACGGCUUCUCCACCGGGCGCCGCCACGAUCUCCGCUCGCCCGACCGCUACACCUGCCGCCUGCCCAGCCCCUGUCGCUCAGGCCGCCCCGUCAUCUCCAUUUUUUGGCCUCCUGAUCGCUGGCCUCUCUGUCCGGUGUCUUCAUGGCCGCCCCGACGCCGCCUCUGGGUCGCUUUGACGUCGUCCCACCACCGGCAUCCUAUGGUGCCUCCCACCCGACGGCGCCCUACAACCCUGCUCCUGCCCCGCAGGCGUUUGGGGGUCAUGCCCCGCCCGCGGCUGCACCCUAGUGGGUGUAUCAGCACCCGUCGGCGGGCCACUCGCCCAAGGGUCCUCCACACCCGAUGCCGCUGGGGGGUGGUUCCUACGGUGUUGCUCCUGCCACCCCAUGGCCGAGUACGCCCUACGUACCCCCGACUACGUCGGCCUCUGCCUACCUGCAUGUCUCAGGUGCCGCGCCUCCUUACGGUCCGACCGCCUUGUACGCGAGGCCAUAUGGAGGUCCAUCGACCGACCUGGUUGCGUCACCUUCGUGCGGCUAUGCCCCGCUACCACCAUCGGAUCAGGGUGUCCCUGCUUCGCUGUUCUACUUCGCGCACCUCAUCCCGGUGAAGUUGACAACGGAGAACUACCUGUCGUGGGGUGCUCAGGUCUUGCCACUUCUCCGUAGUCUCUACUUGGAGGGGUUUGUUGAUGGCACUCUGUCGUGUGCCCCGCCUUAUCACCCGGGGCAUCAUGCGUGGGUGGCUCAAGAUCGAGCCAUCCUUUCAGCUAUCCAGUCCUCUCUUAUGGAGGGGGUCUCGUCACUUUCAGGCGGCCCUUCGGGUUCCUCAUUGGCGCAAGGCCAUCGAGCAGGAGUUUCAGGCACUACAGAGGAACGAUACUUGGCGCUUGGUUCCUCCUGUGUCGGGUGUCAACAUAAUUGAUUUCAAGUGGGUCUUAAAGGUAAAAAAGCAUGUCGGUGGUUCCAUUGAGCGCUUCAAGGCACGGUUGUUGGCCAAAGAUUGUACACAACGGUAUGGUCUUGAUUAUGAGGAUACUUUCAGCCCAGUUGUUAAACCUACCACUAUGUGUCUGCUUCUCUCCUUGGCUGUUGCCAAAGGGUAGUCUAUGCGCCAGCUUGAUGUUCAGAAUGCUUAUCUCCAUGGGGUCUUGGAGGAAGAAGUUUACAUGCGGCAACCUCCCGGUUUUGUUGAUCCAGCUCGUCCACAUCAUUUAAGUCGUCUUGUUAAGGAGCUUUAUGGACUCAAGGAGGCUCCUCGUGCAUGGCAUGCCCGGCUGGGCUCGGUUCUUCGACAGCUUGUGUUUACUCCGCCCACUGCUGACACGUCAUUGUUCCUGUUUCAUCGUCUUGAGGUGACUAUAUGUACCUGCUGGUUUAUGUUGAUGACAUUAUUCUUAUAAGCUCGUCCGUCUGCUACUAAUCGUCUGCUAUCUGCUCUCAGUGGUCACUUUGCUGUCCAGGAUCUGGGGGCUCUCUAUUACUUUCUUGGCUUGGAGGUUUCACAGUCUUCUGCUGGCCCGACUCUCACUCAGCCGAAGUACUCUUUUGACCUGCUACGCCGUGGAGGUAUGUUGCGCUGCAAGCAUGCUACCACCCCUAUGUCUGCGACAGGUCGGUUAUCAGCCUUGGAUGGUGACUUACUCCGUCCAGAUGAUGCUACUGAGUAUCACAGUGUUGUUGGAGCUUUGCAGUACUUGACUAUUACACGGCCUAACAUUUCCUAUGCGGUUAACCUUGUGUGACAGUUUCUUCAUGCUCCUCGAACUUCACACUGGUCAGCUGUGAAGCGUGUCUUGCGUUAUCUCUCACACUGUCUCAUAUGGCUUGCAUCUUCGGUCUACCUCUUCGUCUGCCCUCUCGGCCUUCUCCGAUGCUGAUUGGGCUGGGAGCCGUGAUGACCGACGAUCAACGGGGGGCUAUGCUGUCUUUUAUGGGGAUAACUUGAUCGUUUAGAGUGCACGCAAGCAGGCCACAAUAUCUUGGAGUAGCAUUGAAGCAGAGUACAAGGCGGUUGCCAAUGCCACGACUGAGCUCAUUUGGGUAAAGUCUUUGUUGAGAGAGUUAGGUAUCUCUCAACAACAACCACCCGUUCUUUGGUGUGAUAAUAUUGGUGCGACAUAUCUUUCAUCUGAUCCAGUUUUUUAUGUUCGUACCAAGCACAUCGAAGUUGACUAUCACUUUGUAAGGGAACGCAUUGCACGGAAGCUUCUUUAUAUCAAGUUCAUCUCUUCAAAGGAUCAAUUUGCUGACAUCUUCACAAAGCAACUUUCACAACCUCAGUUUGAGGGAUGCAGGUGCAAUCUUAACUUGCUUUGUACUUCAGGACAUAGUUAAGAUUGAGGAAGGAUCUUAGACUAUGUAUUUGUAUAACUUUCGUAUAUAGCGCUAUACUCUAUAUACCCCUUAUAUAUAUGAGUUAGCCACAUCCGUAUUGGGUGUCGGGCAGUUUCCACCAAACAUUGUUUUACAACUGCGUCCUCAUGAGCAGUGUUUGUGUGUGCAUGGAGAGAGAGAAGUCUGUGUGGAGGGGAGCAUGUGGAUGGGCAAGAAAUGCAGGAGAGAGGAGAGAGAGACGCUGGCAGAGCGCCUGCAUGCCGGCGAAAUUAGCCCCCCCCCCCCCCCCCCCCCCCCCCCCCCCCCCCCCCGCCCCCCCCCCCCCGCUCCUCUCNNNNNNNNCCCCCCCCUCCCCAUGUGCCCAGCUUCCUGGAUUUGCCUUUGGGGCCGCUAACGCAUUUUUGAUCAAAUACAGCGAAAAUUGAGAAGGUGGAGGCGCGACUCGACGAUUUUAUCAACGUCGAGGGUUAAAAAGUGUUUUGAGGAGGACUGUUAAGGGUGCGGCUGGAGAUGCUCUAAACAAGUAGUUCCUGACACAUUAUUACAAAGCAAGCUAAAAAGCUCAAUCCCACACACGGGAGUCUGAAACAAAACAAACAACUAGCAAUAACUGCACAAAACUAUCACUUAGCAACAGAUUCAAAGUUAGUAACUAAAAUAUCAAAUAGGCUCUCUACCUCUUUCAAGAUUAACCUAACUACUAUACACUCGUAAAACAAGUGAUACACUGACUCUAUCUCAGUACAAUGAACACAUUCAAGCUGCUUAGCCAGUUCUCUUUUCCUCUGAUUGUCAUAGACACUCACAGGUCAUUAUUUUGUUCUGAGAAAAUAACCAGAGAAAUCCCUCAACCCUGGGUGGUACAUUGAUCUUCCACACAACAGGCAAGAAGAUAGGUUGGACCCCACUAAAUUCACUAUUGCAUACAAAGAUUUACUGGAAUAAACACCUUUAGACUCAUAUUGCCAGAUCAAAGAGUCAUCCUCAUGACAGAACUUAGUGAGUUUGAUGAUAUUAACCAAAUCAAACCACUGAAUCAUUAGUUCAUUACAAAAAAUUAUCCUAAAUGUACAUUUAAGUUCUUGUCCGUCCCGAAGCUUUGAAAUAGUUAUAUUUUUCUCAUUGAUCAAAUAGUAUAUGUCCCAAAAUUGGAUGGCGAGAGGUGCAUUAGAGCAUCUCUAGCACACCCCAUAUUUUUCCGACCCGCAUAAGUCGUUUACAGUUCGACGAAGCGGGAUUUUGCGGGGCGAAAUAGUGCGCUGUAGAAUAGACCCCGUAUAUGAAACUGUAUAAUUUGAAAAAAACUUUCACGGAAGAAAUUACAACCACACUGAUCUUUUAUAGUUCAUCACAUACUACAUGAUCAUACAUGCUACAUUCUACUACUACUACUAUAGGGGGUUGGGGAUCUCGCCGGAGCUAACUAUCCUACCGCACUAAGAAAAAUAGAGCUUACCAGAGCUCGUGUUGUAGUUGUCCAGCAACAGCGCGGGCAAAAGGUUGUCCGCCUCCAUCGGGGGAAGGAAGUCCUCCGGCCCGACGACGCCCCCGGCACGUCGCUCCGGCCCCGUCCAUCUUCACCAAGGGGAGCUCCUCUAGCUCCCUCUUCACCGGGGUGAGGGAGGAGUGCGAGCUCGACGCCUUGAAGGAGUUGCUGCUGCCGGAGAAGAGGCGGCCUCGCACACGGUCGUACUCCUCUGUCUCGCGGCGGAGGAGCGACGGUGGUGGCGACCGGCCCCAGCGCGUGUAUCGUAGGGCGGUGCGCUUCCGCGCCGCGUCGUAUUUGACGCAACGCACCCUCUCGGGGUCAUCGUUGCCAUGGCGACUGAAUUUGGUCAUCUCGAGCGAUGGAUUGAAGGGGCGAGGCGACAGAUUGGAGGUGCGGGCGGCGGAUCUAAGGCGUCGACGGUGAGGGGUGGGGAGUUUUCGCGGUGGCGGUGGGAUAGGGUUCGGACCCGUAUCCAGCAGUCGAACCCGCACAUAUAGCGGUCGGGGGUCUCGUUUCCGAGCCACUGUAAAAAAUGAUCCAAACACAUAUAAUCGCCCAAAUUUUAAAGUUUCGGCAAUUAUACAGCUCUACUAGAGAUGCUUUUACCAUACCAAAUGUCUCCACAAAACCGAAUAAGUCUACCAUUGCCCACUGCGCAUUUUCUACCGCACUCUCACUGUCUGGCAGUGCCCACAUGAAUGUCUUCCAGAAUUGAGAAGAGUUAUUAUCAUGACAACAUAGGAUAUUAGGCCACUUUCAAUGCAUUGGGUGCUAAGAUGAGGUACUAAACACAUUAAAUUAUUUAGUAACUAUAGUCUUCAAUGCAUAGUUGCUUAGCUUAUUGUAGCUAAGCUUCCUUAUUUAAUGCUUUCGCAACUAAAGUUGUGUAUGCAUUGGUGCAUUUCUUUCAUUUAAUUCUUUGACCUAGGUUCACGCACUUAGCAUUGUUUCUUCCUGGGUCACCACACUUAUCUCUCUCCUAUUAGUUAGCUUGGCACAUUAAAAAAAUUAUCUACGUGACAGCCUUAGCACCUGUAUAAGAUGAAGCAUUGGGAGUAGCCUUAGGGCUUUUGCUAUUAUACUUACUAUCUAUCAGCGUCCUCGAGAAAGAACCUUCCCCAGCUAUGUAUCUUUUCACUCUAGAACAUAUCAAACAAAUGUCCUAAAAUUUACAACCCCCAUACCUCCAAACUCCUUCUUCAUACAUAUAAAAGGUGAGUUAACUAAGUGUUUAUUAUUUUGUCCUUCGCUAUCACUUCAUUGACACAAGAGCCCACUUGGGAAAUUUAACAAAGGACAGAAAAUAUUUUUUCAGAUAGGGGCUCUCUAUUACUUAAAAGAUUUAAGCACUAUACCCCACCCAUGUAUAGCCAAGAUGCACACAACCAAACAAUGUCUUCUCAUACAAACGAGAAUAAAAGGCGAAAUACAAAGAAACAUGCAUAGUCCGUAUAAUGCAUAAAGCGAAAGGGGGGUGGAUCAUGCUGCCACCCAUUUUUGGAUAAAACUACCCCUCGUCAUAGCCUGUAAUCAUGUACACACCUUCGUAAAUAGCUGUCGAUUCUCCAGACGGUGUAGAGAGAACAAUAAACAAAGAACCCUGAUACAUCUCUAGAUAACCUCCAUGAAAAAAGUAAUUUUAUUGUUAAAAAAUUUAUCGUUUCUACAUAGUCAAACCGACCAAGUAAUAGCCAUAGCAACCAAGUAACUUUGACCCUAAGAAGUGUUUUAAACCUAUGAUCAGUCGAAUGUAGCCAGUUGCAAAUACAUUAGUAACACUACAUGAAGGAUACAACUUAGAUGACUGACCAUAUAAAAUGAGCCAAAUUGCAUUGAAAGAAUAAAUGUUCUGUUGUGUCACUAUGGUGACAAAAGAUAAAUUGCAGACUAUCUUGACAAUUCCUCUUAAUAAGGUAAUCUUUAGUAAGAAUGACUCCGCGACAAAGAUACCAUGCAAAGAUAUUAUUCUUAAGUGUUAUCUUCAUCUUUUAGAUCUUCUUGUCAUUAUCAACUAUCACAUAGGUUUAGCAGAAAUUUGAUGUUCUGUUCAGUCAUGAUCUCACUAACUCCACUUGUUUAUGUUUACCAUUGGGAAGGGAACGUUGGAAGGCGGUCAUGUGGUUGCUGUGAAAAGGCUGAGCGAGGACUCAGACCAGGGAGCAGAGGAGUUCAAGAACGAGGCAAUUCUGAUUGCCAAGCUGCAGCACCGGAACCUAGUCCGCCUUCUUGGCUGCUGCACCGAGGGGGCCGAGAAGCUGCUCCUACGAGUACCUUCCCAACAAGGGCCUCAAUGCCAUCCUCUUCGGUACAUAUAAUGUUUAAGUCAUCACAACCGAAAUUACUGCAUUGUUUUAGCUUAAGUUUCAUAUGACAUGUUUGCUGCAGACAGUGUGAAGAAAGCGGUGCUGGACUGGCCGACGCGGCUGGGCAUCAUCAAGGGGGUGGCAAGGGGGCUGCUCUACCUGCACCAGGACUCGAGGCUGACGGUGAUACACAGGGAUCUCAAGGCAAGCAACGUGCUGCUGGACGCCGAGAUGCGGCCCAAGAUCGCCGACUUUGGCAUGGCCAAGAUCUUCGGUGACAACCAGGUGAAAGCCAGCACCCGGAAUGUCGUCGGAACAUAGUGAGUUAUCUUAACACCUGUAAAGAAAAAGAAAUUCUUCUUGUUUCGAAUUUAUUUGUUCAAGUCCUUUUUUUUUUUUUGGUUUUAAGUUGGUACGCCAUUUAAGAAAAUGGUGGAACCUCUUAUGACGAGAAAGUAAUGUGUGGACAGUGGCUACAUUGCUCCUGAGUACUCGACGGGGGGCGUCUUCUCCGUCAAAUCCGACGUGUACAGCUUCGGCGUACUGCUGCUUGAGAUCGUGAGCGGCACCAGGAUAAGCGCAAUCGACGGCAUUAUGGAGUGUCCUAGCCUGACAGUCUAUGUAAGCACCUGAACAAAAACUGAUAGUGUCAAACCAAAUAUAUACUUGCAGUUAGUUUCCUUUUGCAGUACACCCCAUAUCAUGAUCAAAUCCAUAUUCAUCUUUUUAAAAGGCAUACACAGAUGGUUGAUUUGAUUGCUUCAUGUAGGCAUGGAGCCUGUGGAGGGAAGGGAGGAUAGGUAAGCUGGUGGAUCCAUCCAUGGCAGAGAGCUGUUCAGAGGAUGAGGCCAUGCUCUGCAUCCACGUCGGGCUCCUGUGCGUGGAGGACGACCCGAGCAGGAGGCCGCUCAUGUCGUCUGUCGUGUCCAUCUUGGAAAAUGGAAGCGCGCCAGUGGUGGCAUCGGCGUCUCUUCCAGCGCCGAACCAGCCAGGGUACUUUAAAAUGAUAGGAGAGAAGAGCCAGAGAAGCGAUCUCGAGAACACCAGGAACGCCAUGACCAUGACAGCUCUUCAUGGACGGUAGUAUAGCAGUUACUGCAGCUUUCAUCAGAAGGGAAGUUGCGCUAGUCCUAGUGUUCCGUUUCUUUCUUUUUUUUACCGGGGAAGACCCCUGGUUCAUAGAGCAUUUGUCACUGAUGGAAAUGAAAGGUUUAUUUAUAGGAGUGUCGAGUUUAUCAGCCUUGAAAUGAACUCUGUUGCUGAAUUGAAAUCUUUACCAUGUUAGACUGAAAAUUAUUCAAGCAGGUCGCCUCAAAUCUAUAGCUGACGACCAAAAGUGCGUUUUACAGAGGUAAGCACUAGCUGGCAUAUCCCCUGAAACCAAACUCUACUAAAAAAAGUUAGUUACAUUCCUAAUAACCAACCCCGGAUGACUAUAUUUGCUCCAGUCGCGGCCUUUGGACUAAAGAUAAGAGCAUCUCCAGCGUUCGGCCCCCUAAGGCCGUGAAAUAGCGCCGCCUGAGGACGCGGCGGCGGAAAAAACAGCGUGGGAGGGGGGGGGGGGGGCUCGGGUUCCCAGCCAUCGAUUUUGGUCCAUUUUCGGCGUAAAUUGACCCAUUUUCGGUGCAAAUUGGCCCACUUUCGGUGGUCUAUAAAACUUAGCUCGAUUACAUGAUCUAUCUCAUCUAAUCCCACCAUCAUUCAGCAAAUCUACAAAGGAAUUACUCACUCCCAGUGAUGAGCAUCAUAGCGGUGUUGAUGAAGAAGGGUUGGUGAUGACGACGGCGACGAAUCCACCUCUCCGAACCGCUAAACGGACUCCAGAUUAGCCCUCCGGGGAAAGAACAAGAGGUGGCGGCGGUUCCGUCUCGUGAAACGCGAUGAAAACUUCUUUCUAAUUUUUUUCUCCGAAGAUGUGAUUUUAUAGGACUGGAAUUAGGGUCGGAGGAGACACAUGGGCCCCACAAGGUUUCUGGGUGCGACCUGGGGGUGGCGUGGAGGGGGGGGGACGCCCUGUUGUCUUGUGCCCCCUGGCACACCUCCUCCGGUAGGUCUUUGCUCCAUAAUUCCUUAUAAAUACCAGAAAUAAUUCAUAAAAAAUUUCGUCCGAUUCCGAGAACUUCUAUUUCUACACAAAAAUAACAUCAAGGUAGUUCUGCUGAAAACAACGUUAGUCCGGGUUAGUUUCAUUUAAAUCAUGUAAAUUAGAGGUCAAAACUAGAGCAAAAGUGUUUGUAAAAGUAGAUACGUUGAAGAUGUAUCAUCGGUCAACCGCAGACUCAUCCGGCAGAGGCAGGCGAAGGCCGACACCCGCUUCGACGAGCUCGGCGCGGAUAUAGCGGCGAAGGAGGCCGCAUCGGAGCAGUCCGAGGGGGGGGGGAGCUGUGGCUACACCCCAUGUAUCCGCCAAUGGACACGUAGAUCGUUGAAAUCUUCGAUGAGGAGUGGUAGUUAGUUUUCUACGUAGUAGUACGUAGGUUUCUUUGGUUGGCGAGAUGUCUGGGCGCGUCCGGUCACUCCCUGCGGUUUAUUUGAGACGUGCCCGAUCACUCCGUGUGGACGCACCCAAACGCGGACGCAGGUGUUUGAGGGAUCAUUUUUUGCUAUCCUUGGUUGUAGAUGCUCUUAUGUUGCAGAUAUACACGGAAGUGAUACAACCGGACCAGGGUGUGGUACGAUGGUGCUGGCAUUGGACGCCGACAUUGUUUGUGGACGUCGUGGCCGAAGUGGCCAGCCUACGAGGCUCUUUUUUUACCAAGUGUUACUUAGUACUCCCUGUGUCCCGAAAUUUUUGUCUUAGAUUUGUCUAGAAAUAGAUGUAUCUGAAUACUAAAACGCGGCUAGAUACAUUCAUAUUUAGACAAAUGUAAGAUAAGAAUUUUAAGACGGAGGAGUACUUAGUACUUAGUUUACAAGGAAUUAAGCCAAUUACCGGUGUUUUUUACAUUCGGCCUACUCCCUUUGUUUUUCUUAAUCUGCAUAUAAAAUUUAAUUAAAGUCAAACAAUAAAAAGUUUAACCAAAUUUAUAUCAAAAGAUAUCAACAUCUGCAAUACUAAAACUAUAUGGUACGAAACUUAAUAUCAUGAUGCACCUAGUAAUCUUCAUUUCAUAUUAUGAAUGUUAAUAUCUUUUUCCUACUAGUAUAAAGUUGGUCAAAGUUUAUGAAGUUUAAUAUUAUCUUCGUCCGAAAAUAUUUGUCUUAGAAAUGAGUAAAUGGAUGUUUGUAUAAUCAAAAUAAAUCUAGAUACAUUUAUCUUUAAAAUAAUUAUUUCCGGACGAAAAGAGUAUUAAUCAAAUCUUAUAUACAUACUUAAAAAAAACGGAGAGAGUACGUGUCAAGCCACACGAAGACUUAUGAUUAUCUGACUCAAGGUAGCUGCAUGCGCCAUGAGCCAACCCCCUCCAAUCCCCCUUCUUGCUCGUCUCCCUCUUGUCUUGCUCCAGGGCGCGCUAGUAGAGUGCACUGUAGCGGCACGCCACCCCAGCUUGUGGUGGAGAGAGGUCUGUGCGUUACUUCCGUAAUAAUUUCCCGUAGACGACCCCUCUGGCUCAACUGUCGUUGUAGAACUAAGACGGCGCGUACGUAUGACGCGCACACACCGGAGACCGGACCAGUUCACCAUGGGUGCAAUGCAUGCCGAAGAGCACUAGUCAGUCGUAUGACUUCACAAAGUCGCGCCAUCGUGUGGUGUGGCUACGUCGCCUUGCAUUGCAGCCAAGAGCAACAAGGUUCAUGCACUGCCCUCACGAAGUGCCUGCACGCACCUUGAAUUUGCUCAAUGGACCUGCCGCCACGUUCCGCUGCCGUCCUCGUCCUCGCCGUCGUCGCCGCCUGCCUCCCGUGCAUGUCGGCCGAGGACCAGCUGGCCGUCGGGGACAAGCUCCUCGCCCGGGAUACCAUCGUGUCCGACAGCGGCGACUUCGCCCUCGGCUUCUUCUCCCCGGACGACUCACCCGCCGCUCCCGCGAGACGGUGGUACCUCGGCAUAUGGUACCACAGCAUCCCCGGGCCUCAAACCGUCGUCUGGGUGGCCAACCGGGACGCCCCAGCCGCCGGAGAGCCUACGCUCGCGCUGGCCAACGACUCCAGCCUCGUCCUGUCCGACGCCGACGGCAGCGUGCUCUGGACCACGCCCGGCGUGGGCACAUCGUCCUCGCAGCCGGCGCCAGCCGAGCUCGGGAACGACGGCAACCUGCUCAUCCUGCUGCCGAACGGCACGGUGGUGUGGCAGAGCUUCGACCACCCGACGGACACGUUCAUGCCGGGGAUGAAGGCCCGGCUGAGCCGCCGGACGGAGAGGCGUGACUGGAUCGUGUCCUGGACAUCCCCCCGCGACCCGGCGCCGGGCCCCUUCUCCUGCGGCCUGGACCCCGUCACGUCGCUGCAGCUGCUCAUGUGGAACCGCACGCGGCUCUAUUCGCGCACCCCCGUCUGGACGGGGUACGCCGCGUCCGGGACCAUCGUCAGCGCCGGCAUGGUCAUCAACACGGCGAUAGUGGUCGUGGGCACCGAGGAGGAGAUCUCCAUCACCUUCACAGUGUCCGGCAGCCCGACGCCCACGCGGUACGUGGUGACCAGCUCCGGCACGUUCCAGCUCCUCAGAUGGAACGGCACCGCGUCGGCCUGGGACACGCUCCAGUCGUGGCCGUCCAGCGGGUGCACCACCUAUGGCCGCUGCGGCGCGUACGGGUACUGCGACGCCACGGCGGCCCCGCCGUCGUGCAAGUGCCUCGAUGGGUUCGAGCCGGCGAUACCGGCGGACUGGAGCGCCGGCAGGUUCGAGCAGGGCUGCCGGAGAACGCAGGCGCUCCCGCCGUGCGGCGGCGGCGGGCAUGGUUUCCUGGAGAUGCGGAGCAUGAAGGUGCCGGACAACUUCUCGCUCGACGCCGGCAACCGGAGCCCGGAGGAGUGCGCGGCGAGGUGCGCCGGCAGCUGCUCGUGCGUGGCCUACGCGUACGUCGACCUGCACAGCAGCAGCGCGCGGCAGCUGCGGUGCCUGGUGUGGGCAGGGGAACUCGUCGACGCACAGAUGAUCGGCGCGCCCGGCCAGACGCUCUACCUCCGCGUGCCCGUUGCUGCAACGUCCACAGGUACGGCUGAAAGAAAAAGAACAUAUGCUUUGUUGUCCGAAACUUUGUCAAAGUUAUGAUGAAUGUUUACUGAAUUGAAAACAAAAAAGUGGGACAUGGAUAUCCAGUGAACGUUCAAUUUUCAAUGCUCGGCAAAUCAAACGUUUUUCAUCGCAAGUUGUGUUUCUUGAGGGUUAAAAGUUUAAUUUACGAGCAUGAAAAGUCCGUCUCAGUUUAUUUUUAUUAGAAAAUUAUUACAAUUGCAAGCUAUUUUUUUACAAGAAAGCCUUCGGGAUAUAGCUUUAUUCAACUUCAGAUAGUACUUACAUAAUCUGUUAAAAACUUCAAAAUGAAAUCAGGGGUGCGAGGCAGGAGGAUUAACACGUCUCUACUUAGGCCCUGUUUGAAACCAUAAUAGAUUAUGAUAAUCUAGAUUAUGAAAAUAAAUUAUAUAAUCUGGUUUAUAAAAAAAAUCUAGGUGGACAUGUUUGCAGACCAGAUUAUAUAAACUGUAAUCUAGGUUUUACAUUGCAUAAUAAUGACCCGUCUACCCUCUGUUUUUUAAAAAGAGGUGGAUGGCGGUGGUAGGAAUGUAAUUAUGUUUAACUUUGCAAGGAUAAUGGGUCAUUAGCAAUUCAUAAUCCGAUUUUACCUGGUGUAGAGUAGAUUAUAAGUUUUUAAUAAUCUAUCCAUCUAGUUUUUAUAAUCUACACCAUAAUUUGUCCUGUUUGGAGACAUAAUAGAUUAUAAAAACUAGAUUGUAUAAUCUGGAUGGUUCCAAACAAGGCCUUAGCUACCUCGUGAGCAACUAUGUUUAACUCCCUAACGGUGGUGGAGCUACAACCACAUCUUUGGGCGAGCUAAAACGGAUCAACUUAAAAAAUAAUACAUUAAUACAGUAUACAUCUGAAGUUUUGCUCUUAGGCCUCUCUCAAUGCUUCAUUUCGUAUAGGUGCUAAGGCUAUCAUAUAGACGAAAAAUCUAAUGUAGUAAAAGUAAUUUAGAGGAGAGAGAUGAAUGUGGUGACCUGGGAAAAAACAACGUCAAGCACGUAAACCUAGGCAAAACACUUAAAUAAAAGAAAUCCACCAACACAUGAACAACUUUAGUUAAUAAAUCAUUAAAUAAGGAGGCUUAGCUACAACAAUCUAAGCACCUAUGCAUUGAAGGCUUUAGUUGCUAAACUAUUUAAUGUGCUUAGCACCUAAUCUUAACAUCAAUGCAUUGAAAGUGGCCUUAGAGCAAGUACAAUAGUCCUAUUCAGUAGGCUACAAGGGAUUCCACCUCACCAAAAAUCUGAGCUGGAGGAGGGUAAAGACAGGAGAGAGAAGGGAACGGGCGUUGUCGUGGGUAUAAGCCUGACAGUAGAUGUGUAGGAUACGAAAAGGAUGGGCAGAGUCCUAGCUACGGCGAGGAUGUAUGAGUUCAGGCCCCUCUGCGAUGGAGGUAAUAGCCCUACGUCUCAGUUCUCAGGGAGCUUUGUUGUCGAGUGGAAUCAGGAAUACAAUGAGUUGCUAACCUCUUUACCAGUGGGGGAGGGUGGCUUAUAUAGAGUGCGCUGCCCUCCACAACGGUUCCGAUACAGGGGUGGAGUAGUGGCGAUUGAAUGUGUACGUUACAGGUAACCUACGCCCUAAAUGCCAAUAAAUGCACCUGGAAACGUACGACCGUUUCCCUCCAGGGGGUUACGAUGUACCGAGUGGUAUACAGUCGGUUAGCCUGAUAUGCUCCGAAUGCUAGUCUCCGACUGGACGAUCGAGAGUAAAUUACCGACUGGAUGACAGGGAUUCCUUAAUUCAGUCGGAGCUGACUAGGGGUCUAGUCCUUUGCGAGGGGUGGUCCUUGGAUAAGACCUACAGGGCAGGCCUAUGACCCUACCCUAGUACUAUAACCCCAUCAGGCGCUUCACUAGUCGCCCGGCUGCAGCACAAGACCCGAGAAAGUUUAGCCCACUUGGAGCUCGAAGCCGGCGACAGGGCCACUGCUCCCAAUCCCCUGCGUCUCACCAUCCAAUCAACUGCUUUUUUCCUUUCUUACCAUGCAUGCGAACAUUGAUUGCCCUGGCCUCAACAGCUCAUAUAAAGCCAACCUUAUUACACCAGACUUCUUCUACGAAGGCUAUUGUUGACAUGGCACCGAUAUACAGCCGGUAGCCGGCGUUUCUAUUAACCAUGCUCUUAGGGUCCAAAUUCAGCACCAGUCUUCAUUAAAUUUUCAUUAAGCUGGGUGGGCCAUGUCUGGUUUUGCCCAGCCAUAGCUCCGCCAUUGCUCCCUAAUUAAUACAAUGCUCGUAGUAACCUUACCAUGAUCACGAAAACAAUUUCGAAAAUCCUGACAACGCUGCCGUCAUCAUAGAAUGCUCGUCAUUUGAAUUUAAAGCUUGUACCACAAUGGGGUUACUUAAACUCACCAUUAGAUUGUUACAUCCACUGAUGUGUGCAAGUUUGAAACCUUCUAGAAACGUCGCGGCCUCGGUUGAGACUACACCCGCUACAUGUUCAAGUUUUGCGGUAGAAGCUGAGAUUCCGAAUGAUAUAUAGCUCUACAUGAACCAGAAUAAUUUUUCGUGCUUGCAUACUAAUUUUACAUCAUCAAAGAAUUAGCCAUGGACGGGGUGCGUGGAAGCUUGCUAUUCAUGUGCCAGAACCAUGAGUUGGUCGCGAGAUCUUAUGGGUUUCACCUCUAGCCUAUUUCAACGUGUUUGGGACUAAAGACUUUGUCGUCGUCGUUGUUGUUGUUGCUGCAUACUAACUUUGCAUCCCGGCGCCAAUAUAAAUUGUCAUAAAAAUUGUUUAAUUUGCCAUGUUUAAAAUUUGACGUAAGAUUCUUAGUCUUAUCGCCCUUUCAUGUGCAGGUGGAAAUGCAGUGAAAAUAGCAGUGCCGGUGGCAGCAUGUGUGCUGGUGCUCACAUGCAUUUUCUUUGCAUGGUUCUGGAGAUUCAGAGGUAUAGUUAUACUUUUAGCUCUAAACAUGUCAUACUAAAUCAUUCUUAGACAAAAUGCUCACAGCAUCAAUUUUACAGGCAAUUUUACAGACAAGAGGAGGAAAACCGAGAGCCAGAAGAAGCUAAUGACUGGCAGCGCGAACACCCCGAGCGAAGUCGGCGAAGGAGAUCACACUGGUGACCUUGAGUUCCCCUCCUUACGGUUCGCCGACAUCGUCGCUGCCACGGGCAAUUUCUCCAAGACAUUCAUGAUCGGGCGCGGAGGCUUCGGCAAUGUUUACAAGGUAUACUAACUUUUACCUCUCUUUCAGUCCUUCGGCAAGGUUUUCAAGGUAUCCUGUUUUGUGAGUUUAACACAAAAUUCACUUUUUUGUUUUACAAUUCGGAAGGGAACAUUAGACGGUGGACAUGUGGUCGCCGUGAAGAGGCUGAGCAAGGAUUCAGAUCAGGGAGCAGAGGAGUUCAAGAACGAGGCGAUCCUCAUCGCCAAGCUGCAGCACCGGAACCUGGUGCGCCUCCUCGGCUGCUGCACCGAGGGGGCGGAGAAGCUGCUCAUCUACGAGUACCUGCCCAACAAGGGCCUCGACGCCAUCCUCUUCGGUACAUACCAUAUGUUCAUUACAACUGAAAGUACAUAAUCUUUUUUACGAGUGAAAUACACCGUUAGUCCAUUGACUCAAAGAGUUCGUACAGUUUAUUAGGUAAGAACAGGCAAAAACUCAGGAAAUCAUCAAUUUACUCAUUAAUUUAACUAGUUUAAGUAAUCAGAUUAAGGACAAAAACGAUUCACCUUGUUUAAAGAAAUUCGAUUCACCCCCGAAAAACCACACACGUGGCUGCCAUAUCAUUGUACAUGUGUUCUAAAUAAGUUUAAUAACUAAAUUAAUCACUUCGUGAGUUUUUGGCCUAAACGGUACAAUUACAAACAAUUUAACUUAGAGCAUCUCCAACAGGCGCCCAAAAAAGCUUCACGCGUUAAAAGUUUAUUUUUUGGGCGCCGAACAGUUCCAACAGAUGCUGUAAUAUACUGCACGCGUUAAAAAGAUUUGGGCACGCGCUGAAAAACGCUAUCGCGCACAGCAUAUUUAGACGCCGGAUUGUGCGCCCUUUAUAAUUUGCACUGCGUGUUUUUUUUGUGCGUGUUUUUGCGCGUCUGCUAAAGCAAUGUUAGUCCUGACGCAUUAAAAGUGAUACAGCGCUAUAACUUUUAUUAGACGCGAAAUUUUUGUGCGGGUGUUGAAGAUGUUCUUAAUGGACGCAAUUCAUCUCUACUGAUUUUCAUUAUAGAAAACCAAUGGCUUAACUACUAAAAGAAGAAAAGAAAGAAGGACCACCAGACCCAAAUCCUUCACAGAGUGGGAGGGGCAGCAUCCCAAACUAAACCUGGGCAUAUCCCGGGCCAGGCUUUAGAAAACCCAAACUGAAAAUCUCAAGCCCGAGCCCGGUCCGAUCCGGUCAAAAAAACCAAUUUUCAGCCACCGAGCACGGCCCAAAUGGAUUAAAAAGAUGAAUUCCGGGUCGCGCCUGGACGGGUCGGGUCUCCGUGUAAAAUGAUGAUUUUCCAAAGCCCGAGCCCAUCCCAAACUAUUGCCCGAGCCUAGUUUCCAAGCUUGAACCCUUCCCAAACAUAAAGCCCGCUCCGGCCCGGCCCGGGUUUUUCGGGUCGGGUCACCGGGCAAUGAUCGGGCUGCCCAUGCCCAAGUUUAUCCCAAAUCAUGCAUAACUUCUUUUCUUCACCACCUCAACUUUGAAUAGCCCCCUCAACAAUCUUAAUGAAGCUCCGUUACUGCCCACCGGGACCAAAUUUUUGUCAUGCUUGGGGAAGGUUUUAAUCCAUCUAGAGAAACAAUCAUUUAAAUACACAGAAUAAAACAAACAUCAAAUGCACAUUUUAGUAAAUUCCACACCAAUUUAGCAUUAGAGUAGUUGAAAAACAUAUGAGCAAUGGUUUCCCCUGGCCAUUGAAGGCGCAUCCUUUCUCUCUUUUCCAUCUUCUUUUUAACAUGUUAUCUUCGGCCGGUAUACUUUUUCUGUUUACUAAGCAAACGUAAACUUGAUUUUACGAACAAUUUUAAUUUUCCACAAAAAAUUUCGUGGAAAUCCACAUCAGUCAACACCCACUUAAUUUGACCCUUCCGUCCAUACAUUUGGAUCUCCUCACAUCUGGCUUCCAAACUUUCCCAAAGAGUUAGGCUCUCUCUCGAGUCCCCGCAGAGUUCUUCAAAAGGAGAUAUCAUCACACCCCUUCUCAAUAGCAUCAGCUACCGAGAUAUCAUGGUUAAAGCUGACCAAGUAUAAUCUUGGAUAGGCUUCUUCUAGGCCUUGUUCGGUUGCCGUGGUUAGAUUCCACGAGUGAUUUCUAACCUCCUAGGGAUUAGGUGAUCUCCUACUUGUCACCCAAUCACCGCUAUUCCUCAUCCACAUGAAUCCUUCUGACCAAAACAUGUUCAGUUACUCCCUUUUCUAAUCCAUCCAUAUGAAUCAUUGCCCCUGUCAACGUCAGGUCAGAAUCGGUAGAGGAGAACGGGAAGAAGAGGAGAGGACAAGAAGGAGACGAGGCUUACCUGAUAGGAGAGCAAGGAGGGGUGGGGAAGUAUGUCGCCAUCAUCGCCUCCGGAUGGCCGCGCCGUCGCCGCCAAAUCGCGGGAGAGAGAGAGAGAGAGCCCGGGGAGACAUGGCUCGAUUUUUUUUCUUCCGACAUACAGAUUCGCCCAUCGGGAGGGAUUGGUUCCACGAGUAGAGAUGCGAGGAUUUUAUCCCAGACAGUUCCACGUGGUUUGAGAGGGAUUGGGCGGGGGUGUAGCCCCGACCGGGUUUAAUCCAACAAGCUCGUAAGCAGGCUGGGGUCGGAUCCCGGCCGGGCCGAAACCACGGGGUUCGGCGGGGAUUGGACACCAAUCCCGGCGGGGGAGGGGCUAACCGAACAAGGCCUUAGGGGUUUAUCAUCCAUCCAUCAAUCUUCCCAAAACCUAGUAUUUUUUUCAUCACCUAAUUUUUUCUUUACAUUGCUGAUAAAAGCAAUAUUUCAAUUCCAAAAUACUGGACCAGAAGUGAGAGUCACCCACUUCAGGUUUUAUACCAGAUAGACAAUUAUCUUUCACAUAUUUGUUAAUGAGGACUUCCCAGUUCCCACCAUAAUCCAUUUUCAGUUUCCAGUCUCCAAAACCACUUGGCUAGUAGGGAUUUGUUCAUUAAUUCUAGAUUUAUACUUGCUGCAGAUAGUGCGAGGAAAUCGGUGCUGGAUUGGUCGACACGGCUGGGGAUCAUCAAGGGCGUGGCAAGGGGGCUGCUCUACCUGCAUCAGGACUCAAGGCUGACGGUGAUACACAGGGACCUCAAGGCCAGCAACGUGCUGCUGGACGCCGAGAUGAGGCCCAAGAUCGCCGACUUCGGCAUGGCCAAGAUCUUCGGCGACAACCAGGUGAAAGCCAACAGCAAGCGCGUCGUCGGCACAUAGUGAGUAAUUUGAACACUUUACUGAAUUUACAGAGAGAAAAGGAAUUUUUUUGUGUUAAGUUGGUACAUAGCAUUUGACGAAAAUAAAGUGUGACAGCUCUUCUAACAAAAAAUGUGUGUGCCGACAGUGGCUACAUUGCUCCCGAGUACUCGACGGAGGGCGUCUUCUCCGUCAAAUCCGACGUGUACAGCUUCGGCGUGCUGCUGCUGGAGAUCGUUAGCGGCGUUAGGAUAAGCACAACCAGUGGCAUCAUGGAGUUUCCUAGCCUGAUAGUCUAUGUAAGCACCUGCAUUUACAAUUUUCUUCAGUACAGUCCUCUUUCUUGUGAUCGAAUCCGUAUUUGUAAUAGCAAGAAAAGGAACAAUUCAUGGUUGGUUUGAUUGUUUCAUGUAGGCAUGGCACCUGUGGAGGGAAGGGAAGGCAGGCAAGCUGGUGGAUCCGUCCAUGGCAGAGAGCUGUCUACAGGACGAGGCAUUGCUCUGCAUCCACGUCGGGCUCCUCUGCGUGGAGGACGACCCGAGCAGGAGGCCGCUCAUGUCGUCCGUCGUGUCCAUCUUGGAGAACGGAAGCGCGUCGGUGGUGCUGGCAUCGGCGUCUCUUCCGGAGCCGAACAAGCCAGGGUACGUCGGAAUGAUGGAAGAGAAGACCCAGAGAAGCGAUCUCGAGAACAGCAGGAACACCAUUGCCAUGACCGUUCUGCAAGGCCGGUAGCACAGUAGGGACUGCAACUUUCUUCUUCAGAAGGAAAGGUGCACUUAGUUCUAGCGUUUCAUUUUCUUUUCUUUUUUACCGUGGGAAAAAACGGAUUUGUAGAGCAUUUUUUACUGGUACAAAUGAAAUAUGUAUUUACAGGAGCGUUGAGUUGAUUUGAUGUGUCUUGAAAUGGAUGGUAUUGGUAUGAAUGUCUUGCUGGAUUUGAAUACUUUAGCUACUUGGAUGGACUUCCAGAAAAAAUUUCAGAGAGCUUCUGUAUUUGACAUUCAGAGGUUGAGAGAAACAAGUAAUUAAGCGGAAGAAGAAAGAUGCCUUGAUUAAUCUGAAAAAUAACCAGAUAUUACACAAACACCAUCUUUUUAGUGUACACACACCAACUCAUCAUCUCGACUCGCCCUCACAUGCAAAAUCUAUCAGUCCGGAAAGACAUGCAGCACAGCAGCAUCCAUCAGCAAUGAAGUUGUCGGCCAAGCGCGCGCGCGCGCGCUAGAGGUUGAGCUGACUGAGCUCACUUGCCGGGAACGAAGUUGGUGGCGAAAGCCCAGGCGUUGUUGUUGACGGGGUCGGCGAGGUGGUCGGCGAGGUUCUCGAGGGGGCCCUUGCCGGUGACGAUGGCCUGGACGAAGAAGCCGAACAUGGAGAACAUGGCGAGGCGGCCGUUCUUGAUCUCCUUCACCUUGAGCUCGGCGAAGGCCUCGGGGUCCUCGGCGAGGCCCAGGGGGUCGAAGCUGCCGCCGGGGUAGAGCGGGUCGACUAUCUCGCCGAGCGGGCCGCCGGCGACGCGGUAGCCCUCGACGGCGCCCAUGAGCACCACCUGGCAGGCCCAGAUGGCGAGGAUGCUCUGGGCGUGGACGAGGCUGGGGUUGCCGAGGUAGUCGAGGCCGCCCUCGCUGAAGAUCUGGGAGCCGGCCUUGAACCACACGGCCUCGCCGAACUUGACGCCGUUGCGGGCGAGCAGCUCGGGGAAGACGCAGCCGAGCGCGCCGAGCAUGGCCCAGCGGCAGUGGAUGACCUCCAGCUCACGGUUCUUGGCGAAGGUCUCGGGGUCAGCGGACAGCCCCGCGGUGUCCCAGCCGUAGUCGCCGGGGAACUCGCCGGUGAGGUAGCUCGGGGGGUCGCCGGAGAGCGGGCCGAGGUAGAGCACGCGGUCGGAGCCGUACCACGGGCUGCUGGACGCCGCCACCUUGGGCUUGCCCGCCGUCUUGCGCAUGGUGAUGCGGCCCUCGCCGAAGGGCGCCGCCCUGGAGGCCUUCACCGGGGUGCCGGCCAUCGCCGGGGAGGAGAGCGCCAUGGUCGCCGCGGCCGCCAUCGCUCGCUGCGUGCUAGCUAGCUAGCCUUGCUUCGAGUGAGCUGAGGCUGGCAGUGACAGUAGGAGGCGCUGGUGGUCGUUGGUGGUGAGGAGUGAAGCGGGAGCGCGCCGGGUUUAAAUAGGAGGAGGGAGCGAUCGGGUCCUUAUCCCGGGGAAUCUUAUGCCGAGUCGCCAUUGGCGCGCGGGGCGCGAGGCGGGCGGAUGGGGCGGCUGAGGUGGCCGCGCGGUGGCCACGGGAGCGGCGGAGGUCGGGAUUUUUUGCGGGGUUGUGGUGGAUUUGGCGCGGUGGAGAUGAGCCGCGAGGGCGACGGUGGGUCGCGGCCGCAGCCCACAUGGCCGCGUGUGGGGCGGCUCGCCGAUGUGGCCGCGCGCUGGCCAGGGGAUCUCCUGCUCACCGCGCCGGGCGGAAGGGGACGGAGGGCGAUGAGUUUGGCCGUUGCGCGCGGUGCAUUCUGAGGCGUGCCGCUGGCCGGAGGACCCCGGGAAAGAGAUAUCUGCCGUUGGCAGGUUGUGCCGGCGACCUACGUGGCCGACAUCUACUGGUUUCACGACUUCACGAGGUGCCCAAUCGGAACGGGUUCAGGACUAGCUCGGAACUGCCGUUUUAUUUUUCGAUUUGCACAUGCAUCAUGUAAAGAUCCUCUGCAAUGGUUGAAGUUUAAAAACUUUUAUCUUUAAAACCGUUAAUUCAAUCGAUGAUCUCUUUUCAUCGUUGACUUUGUCACGACAAGAUCUUCGAAACUAGAUCUCAUGUUGACAUGUUUCGACAAACUUUUUUUUUCUUCCAUAAUUGCUACAUUUUUCCACUCACUUGCUAUAUUAUUAACCACUUACUUGCUCAAUAAAAAUAACUUAAUUGCCAUAUUUUUUUAUGUCGUUUCGUGCAAAGAUUAUCGAUGCUUAUAAAUGCAGUCCCCAAAAUGUUUUGAUGUGUUUGUCAUUUUUAUUCUACUAAGUUGUCAUGUGGUCUCAUAAAAGCUUGUAGGUGCUUAUAAAAUCACAGUUUCUACAUAUAUUUUUUGUGCUUGUCAUUUUAAUCCUACCUCGUUAUCAUAUUGUCCCAAACAACUUGUGAGUCAUUGUAAAAAAAAUAGUUGUUACGGUGUUUGCUGUAUUUAUCUUUUGAAUUCUAUGCUCAAUUGUUAUGUUUUGUGGUAAUAAAAGGACAUUUGAUUGUUUUAAAACGUAGUUGUGCUAGUGUUGUGUUGUGUCGGUCAGUUAAAUUCUAUUAAAAUGAUAUGCUUUUAUAUCAUGUAUAAUAAAAUAUGUUACAAGGCUUUUGUACGAAAUAAUAUUAAAAAGUGACAAUCAAGUUAUUUUUUUAGGCAAGUAAGUGGUUACUAAUAUGGCAAGUGGGUCAAAAAAUAUGGCAAGUAUGAACAGAAAAAAAAAGUUGACGAAACAUAUCGAUAUGGGAUCUAGUUUUGAAGAACUCGUCGCGAGAAAGCCAAUGAUGAAAACGGAUCAUCGAUUGAAUUAACGGUUUUGGAGAUAAAACUUUUUGAAUUUCAAACAUAAAAAAGAAUCGCGGGUUGUCCUCCCGCCGCACGGCAAAGCAGCGCUGCGCAUGCUAUCAAUUAGAUUUUUCCUUUAUUUUUUAUUUCUUACCGGCAAAACGAUCCGUAUGUUGAAACGGAAAAAAAAUCAUAAUCUUUAAUGAACAUGAACAUAUUUUCCUGCAUCAUCAAGAUAAAAAAAUAUCACUCUCAUUUUCAUGAAAUCGUGGAUAGUUUUUAAAAAUACAGAACAUAUUAAACUCAUGAACAUAUUUGCAAUCGGGAAUAUGUUUCAAAUUCACAGACGUUUUUACAGAUUUUUGAACAUUUUCAAAGAUCAUGAACAUGUUAUACUAUUUUCACACAUUUUUUAAAAUAUAGGAAAAAUAUUAAACAUUUUUCCUGAAUUGGCGAACAUUUUUCUAGAACCGAAGAUCACUUUUUUGGAAAUUUGUCGGCCAAUUUCUGAAAUUCACCAACAUUUUUUUGAUUUUAAAAUUAUUUUUUGAGUUCCAUGAUCAUUUUUUGAAUCAGCGAACAUUUUAUGAAUCAUAAACUAUUGUGUAAUUCACGAUCAGUUUUUGAAUUUUCUCGAUAUUUUUCAAUUUAAGAACAUUUUUUGAAUUGUAUUUUUUUCAAUUGAUUAUUUUGUUAACAUAUGAACGUUGAUAACAAAUCAUGAUUUUUUUUUGGAUUUUCCGAACCUUUGCUACCAAAAUUAUGAAAUUUUUAUGAAUAGGUGUUAUUUAAAAUUGCAAAUAUAUUUUUUAAUCCACAGACGUUUAGAAUUAUUAAACAUUCUAUUACUAAAAAUGUAUUUAAAAAAUUCGGAAUUUGUUUGAAGUCCUGAAUUAUUUAAACUAGAAAGAACAAAGACGGAAAAGGAAAACAAAAUUUAGAAAAUAGGACACCCAGAUAUGGAUCAGCCCAAACAAGUGCGACGUGUUUUCUUCCAGCACACAGAGCACAGUGUAAGAGGUUCCUACUUGAUGGGCCAGCCCAAACGGGGAUUCCCUUUGUGAAAUGUUUGUUAUCACUUGUGGCAACGCUAGGUAAUAUUUUACAACUUUAAAGGUAAUUUAUGUGAUGCACCUUAAGAAGCACUAAUGCCUUUAUUAAUAUAGGUAUAUAUAUAUGCAACAGACUGUUUACACGUGCAAUCAAGUUUUGCAAGUCUUGGGCCUAUAUAUAUAUAUAUAUAUAUAUAUAGGCCCAAGACUUGCAAAACUUGAUUGCACGUGUAAACAGUCUGUUGCAGUUACUUUGGUUGUAGCCUAGAGAUGUGAAAUGUUAUUUCAACCAACCAGAAGAGAGUGCUUGAUACUUGUGAUCUGCAUUGAGUUUUUUAUAAAGAGGAAUGGAUGAUGCAUCACAGUAUAAAUGGUAAAUUGUAAUGCGUGCUCAAGUUCCGCAACACACCCAAUACAAUGACAAAUUGCAUAGGCGAACUAGUUCGGCGAAGAGAUGUGAUACAAGUGUAGUAUGGAUAGUAUAAAUAUAUUUUUAUAAUCCGAAUAAGUAAAAAGAGCGAGGCAACAAGUAGUAAACAACGAGAAAAACGGUAUAUUAAUGUUGGAAUUAUGCCCUAGAGGCAAUAAUAAAUAUAGUUAUUAUUAUAAUUCCUGUAUCAAGAUAAUAGUUUAUUAUCCAUGCUAUAAUUGUAUUGAAUGAAGACUCAUUUACAUGUGUGGAUACAUAGACAAAACACCGUCCCUAGCAUGCCUCUAGUUGGCUAGCCAGUUGAUCGAUGAUAGUCAGUGUCUUCUGAUUAUGAACAAGGUGUUGUUGCUUGAUAACUGGAUCACGUCAUUGGGAGAAUCACGUGAUGGACUAGACCCAAACUAAUAGACGUAGCAUGUUGAUCGUGUCAUUUUGUUGCUACUGUUUUCUGCGUGUCAAGUAUUCAUUCCUAUGACCGUGAGAUCAUAUAACUCACUGACACCGGAGGAAUGCUUUGUGUGUACCAAACGUCGCAACGUAACUGGGUGACUAUAAAGAUGCUCUACAGGUANNNNNNNNNNNNNNNNNNNNNNNNNNNNNNNNNNNNNNNNNNNNNNNNNNNNNNNNNNNNNNNNNNNNNNNNNNNNNNNNNNNNNNNNNNNNNNNNNNNNUCCUCGCCUCUAGCUCGCGCACCCCUCGCCGGAGUCGGCACCAGAGAGCUUCACCCAGGAGCUCCUCCAUCGCCCCCCCCUGCACGCUUUCCCCCUGCCGAGCCCACCUCACCCCGCCACCACCUCCCCACCACUCGGCCCCCUCCUCCACCACCCCUCCACCCCGCUGCUGCUCCUCCCCAUCACCACUACCAGGCAGCCAGGAGCUUCCCCGUCGGCUCCCCCACAUGCAGGCUCCCUCCUCCCCCUUCGGCCCUCCCCCCAGGAGUCUCCACCGGCCCCUUCCCCACCCCUCGCCGGCCCCUACCCCACCCCACCGGAGCUCACCCCGUGCACCCCCUUCCCACCUCGGCCACAAUAGCCAGCCACGGGAGCAGCUCCAGCCACGGUAAGGCUCCACUCCCCCUCCUGUUUCUUUUUUGUUUUUAUGUAGUAGCCCUUAGAUCCAUAAUCUACGGUGUAGAUUAGGAAGUACUUACCCCUUCGGUUUUCUAAAAAGAACCGGUCCAUCAGUUAAGUGAACCGAAGCAUUUUCUUAUUUAGCGGCCAUCCGCUGUUUAGUCUAUGCAGCAAACACCCCUUAGCCAAUCAGGGACUGCCACGUAGUUAGUUAGCUUUUAUUCUGUUUUUUUUUCAGAUUUAGUUCAAAAACAGAAAGUUCCAAUCUUGUUUAGCCCAUAACUUUUGAUCCCGAAGUCCAAUGAUAGUGAUUCUUUUUCCAGUAGCUCACAAAGUUCCUGUAGUUUCUAAAAACAUAUAAUUUGUAUAUGUUUGAAAUUUUCGAAUAUAAGUUAGAUCAGAUUUAGUUUAAACAUUGUUUUGCCUAUUCCAGGAGUUUAAAAAUAUCUUUUAAUCUGAUUCCUUUUGGUACUGAUCACUAGUGAUCCUAUUUAUAAGUGGUAAAAAUUUCCAAUUUGUUUGAGUAUAUUAGCUCACUGUUUCUUGUGAAACAAUUUCUGUUUCAUCUCUUUUAGGAUUUCGGCUAAUUCCUUUUCUACUUUUGUUUUAAAAUAUUUUCUUUAUUAUUUCAGAAACAUUAUUGUUUUGUUUAUGUUAGUUAACAGUAGUUUUGGAACAAGUUUUUAUUUUAUUUUUAUUUGUUUUCAUGAAAUCAAUUCUAGUUCCUUAUUAACUUGCAAUUGGUUUCCGCACUGUUUCAAAUCCCGUUUGGGAAUACUUUCAAAAAGUUUUGUGAAAAAUACUUUAUUUUAUCUUAGUUAAACUUAUAUCUUAGUUCCUUGUUAUUAUUUUCUGUUAGACAAAAACUAGUUAGUGUUUGAUGUAGAAGAAGACUCCUAGUUUAGUAAAGUUUCUUUCGGAUUCUUAUUCGCUCUCUCUUUUGUUUUGAUUGCUAGAAUGAUUGCUAGUAUGAGUGCUUAUGUGAAUGAUAUGUUUGUUAUAUAGAUUCCCUCGGAGAGUGACGAGUAGUCUAUCAAGUUAUUUUCUCGAGAAAUUCUUCUUCGUCAACAUCACCAGGCAAGUCACUUUGAUCAUACUAUCACCUAUGUUUUAUGCAUCGUAGUUCUACCAUCCUAUGCCCAAAUUGCAUGCUGCUUAAGUACUUGGAAAUUUUAGUAUAGGUUGUAGUAUCAUGUGGUAGGCACCCAACAACCCCGAUACUUGGCCCCGGGACGACAAAUUUCAUAUUGCUAUGCUUGAGGAGACGGGAUUUCGGUUGAGUGCAUAACACAAGUGAUGCGAGGUUGAUUAAAUAAUCAAGACCGGUUAAGACAAGAUUUUCAAGAUCUUGGACACAAUGCAACUCUGGGUGAAGGACGGUUGAUCGGCUCCCUGGAGAACCCAGUGGAUGACCCGGGAUGCUGGAGAGGCCAUGACAUCCUGCGGAAAGCUUCACCCAGGCUCAAAGAGACGGACGGAUAUUUUCAAGACCCAAGGCUUACCUGCACAGCCACAAGUCAUUAUGGGCUCUGGCUUGGUUGGACAACGCGGCGACUCUGGACAGGCGGUGCUAGCAGAUGUAGAAGAAUGGUAUGAAUGGAUGGGCACCGACAGGGAUUCAGAGGGACCCGUUGAAAGACCAUGUUUUGAUCAUCCGGUCUUCAAACACCCUGAAGUGYGAGGACAUACACGGAGGCGAUCAAAUCUUGUGGGGAACGUGUGCAAAACUCUACAGAGUACUCAAACCUAAUCGAUUAGCCGUGUCCACGGUCAUGGACAACUUGAGCCAAAGGAACUGAAGUUAUCUGGAUUUCUCAACACCAUUAUAUAUAUUUGAUGAGGGUAAUUAUUGACAACUCGGGUACGAGAACUGGUUGGCGGAACCAUCUCGUUAACAACCAACCUUGUAGUAAUAUUUUUCUUUUAGCCCUCUUGAUGUUGGAGAAAACUUGCUUUUCGCUAAAAAACUUAUAGCCCCAGCUGCCAUAAAUGCAUAUAGUAUAGAUGAUUACUUUUCACCCCUCUCUUAUGKGACUUGCCAGCAUAUUCAAUAUGCUGACCUACACGGCURCAACAUCUUAUGUUGCAGAUAUUUUUCUUCGAUGAGUAAGAGUACGAUUCAGGGUUACGGUCAACCCUCAACUUGCCGUUGGUGUUUAUUGGGACUCCACUCCCUUGACUGCUUCCGCUGAGAUAUUUAAGGUAUACAUCAGUUUUACGCUAUUUACAUGUGAUUGCACUUUGAUAUAUACAUUGAUGUACUCUGUGUGCCAGCAUACUGAUCCACGGAUGGCACAGAAACACAGAGGCUUGACUCGUCUUGAGUCGGGUCGCUACUGAAAUGGUAUCAGAGCACAUAUUGACUGUAGGACGUGACCCUAGAAACUAGAAAUUUCUUAGGAAAGGAUCUCUCAAAAAUUUUAUUUUCAACAACACCUUUUACUUCUCAUCUCUUCUGAUUUCAUCGAAUGUUCCCUCUCACCUCAAAUAGUUAGACAAUACCCUUACCCCUUUGACCUCAUGAAUAAUCAACGGAGUUCUACUUCAAAUUAAAGAGGAUUUCCUCAUGCAAUUGAAGCUACACCAAUUGAAGACUCUCAAGACCCGAAGAACUUGAAGACCCCGAAACGUUCGAAUAUUUAUAUGACCAUUAGAAGUCCAAACCCCUGUUAUAUACCCACGUUAGAUACGAUGAUUUGUGAGCCGUCAUUGGUGUGUGUUUUUCGAUAGCCACAAAUAAAACCCAUUCUCAAAAAUAUUGUUUGUAUUGUGUGUAUCUCCCUCCCUCUCUUACCCGUCUCAUCCCCAAAACCUCAACCCUACCAGAUGGAGUAUGAAGCUGGACUUGUAGUCUCUGGACCAAUGACCCAGCUAGAGGCUGAAAUAUGGACUCAGAACAUGGAGAACCACUUCGGGAGCAACUUGAUCUCAAGGAAGUAUGAAGUGGAACACGCUCUCUAGUACUUUACCCAAAGUGCUGCAAUCUGGUGGAAAAUGCACCAUGCCAUACAAGGAUUUAGUGGAGCAGAAACCUGGGACGAAUUCAAGAACACCCUGUUAAGAUCCCGUCUCAUUCGGAAGUGCUAUGAUAAUCCGAAGGAGAAGACUUGUGCAUGCAAGAUCUAUGGAGAAAUAGGACACACCCAGGAAGAACACAAGGAUCGAUGCACUCAUUGUGAAGAAAAUCACCCAGCUGAGGAGUGCCCAAGUAGUCAGGUGACUUGUUUCCUUUGUGAAGGAACCACCCACUACCCAGCUCAGUGUCACAUUUACCCCAAGGUGCAACAGGUUGUCAAGCAGCAGAAAGAUGCAGUGAAGGAACCCCUCAAGAAGAAGAUUCUAGAAGAACCGAUGAUGAACGAAAAUAUUGAAGACCCUGAUGGACAAGGUCUGACCAGAUUUUUCUCCAAUGCAUGUUACUCAUGUGGAGAAGAAGGACAUUAUUCACAGGAUUGCACGAAGGAAAGCCAAGAGUAGCUGGGAAACUUCCCGACGGAAGAAGUGGAGUUUGAUCCACUUGAAAUAGAAGAACUGGCCAAAAUAAAGGAGUCCAGAAAGAAGAAAAAGUACCCUCGGAAGAACCAAAUCUCUGCAGACAUAGACCUGAGUCAUGUCAGAUGUUACAAGUGUAUGAAAUUUGGCCACCACAAAUACAUGUGCUCAGGAAGGAAGCCGGAAAUCCAAGGAGCAAAAGAAAAAGCUAAGAGGCCUCGAGACUUGUCAGAACUCAUUUGCUUUCGUUGCAAGGAAGCAGGACAUUUUGCUAGCGAUUGUCCACAAAGGAAGAAAGCUAAGAAGGAGUAGUUAAGUUUUGACCGCGGCACUUAGUGUAAUAUGAAUAACUCUUGUUUUUCAUGAGAUCAUGGAGUGAAAUUUUGUAAAGAAGUCCCUGAGAUUGUAAUAACAUCAUGAAUAAAUGGAAUUUAUUGUCUCAUGAUUGCCUAUGUUGAAACUGUAUGCGUUGUUUCUCUGCGAACAAAGAUCUCUGAACAUUUAUGAGGAUAUGAGAAAAUAUGGUCUAUGCAUGCAUGAGUAUUAUUCAUUUUAAGUGUGGUAGUAAUCGGUAAACCCACAGGAUCCACUGAGUAGGAAUGUACCAUGAUUACCAAGGAGACACAUACAUUCCUCUGAGUACCUAUUUACUGACACCUACAGAUGACACCUCUCUACGAGUCAUUCCUCAAGGGCCCAGAAACGAUCAUGACCCUGACCAGUGACCAUGAUUACCCGAAAAUCCUGAAGGACAUGAUGAAGCACAUUCACCUUGAAGGAGAUGCAGUCUACAAAGGCUACCCAUUUAUGGAAAAUUGAGUGGAACUUUGGUACGUGGAAGUACACCUCCACCAUGUGAAAGGAGUUUGUCCAAAGACUAUGGGGAAAUACUUUUUCAUUUCACGUGUACCGCGAGCAACCUUCUUUGAUGCUGUUCGUGAAGCUGCCAUGGAAGCCAUACGUCAGAUUGGAGAAAUACUUGAAGCAAGACUCCGUCAUACCCAGGAAUACCUGAGUGAGGUACGUGCGUAGAUGAUGGAGAUGAAGCUCAUGACCACCAUGAUGAAGCGAAAGAUGGAUGAUUUCAAGGAGUACCUCGGAAAGUUCGAGUGGAAGUACCUCCAAGAGAGACAGAUGAAUAAAGUUGGCAGAAAUGCUUGACCAUACCGAACAAUGUGGAUGGCAGCAUUUGUAAUAAAUUACUUUUGAGUUAGAAUUUUGAAGAAAGCAAGGAUGUAAUAAAGGAUAGAUUAUGUAAUGAAUAUGAUUUAUGGAAGAAGCUAUGAUGGAUCAGCAAACGUUUUCUUAGGAGCAUACGAAAGCCAGAGAGUUGUGGAGAUACGAUAGAUGUUUCGUUCAGCUUGCAGAACCAAUGGUUUAUCCGAACUUCGUUCGUGGACAAGAGAAACUCUGCAACGCUUGUGAGGAUGCCCAAGUGUUAGAAUGCGAGAUUCGCUAAACCUUAUACAGAGAAAUGAUUUGGGUGCGGAAUGGAUCGAUCACCAUGACGACUUACUCUUAUCAUUUAUCUUGCUAUUCAGAAUGGUAAAUCUGAGAGACUUACCCAUAUAGAGAGAUGACGUUCUUUGAAGCUUUUGUUUAAGACUUAGAGUGGUAUAAGAAAAGCCCAUGCACAUGGCACUUGUUGACACGCGUAGGAAAUUUUACGAUGAGAAUGAAACCAAGACCCCACUCUCUGCAAGAUAACCACAAAUGGUAUACCACCAUGAGAACCAUCGAUAUGUUAUUUAGAAUUGACCGCGAGACUGUCAGUUAAGAAGACCCAGUAAAGGAAGAAGCUUAUAUCAACGGAAGAACUCUCGAUUUUGAUGGAAAACGUUAUGAAUGUAACGAAAGAGCUUCACCAGAGGAGUUAGUAUGAAGACUGUGAGGAGUCAGAUGCCAAAACCCCACCGGAUUGUCAAAAAUCUUAUGGGACAAGUAAUCUUCAUUUUAAGUGUAGUAGCAUCCCACUUUGCUGGAAGUUGGAUUUGUUAGAAGACCCCCAAACCCUAACGUUUCUUUCUAGCCUCUUCGAAUCUCGAGGACGAGAUUCAUUUUAAGUGUGGUAGGUUUGUAACAUCCCAAAUUUUGGAAUGUUAAAAUAAUUAUUAGAUUGUUUGUUUGUUUGCUUGAGUGAUUGAAACUUGUGUGAAAUUUGAAACUUUUCAAAAACUUUUGAAUGAUAGGGAAUAAAAUGACUUUCCCCAUCUCUGAUGAAUUCAAAUUCAAUCUUUUAAAAGAAAAGAGAGAAGAUGACAUGACUUCUUCAACUAUAAAGAAUUUGAACGGAGUUUGCAUUUGAAUCCUUUCAAAUUAUUUGCCCUUGCUUCUAUAUUUUUCUUCCCCGAGAAAAUGCCCCGACAAAAUUCUUGCACGCAUGAAAGAGCGGAGGAAAAUGACCCUCCAAAAACCAGGGCCAUUGAUUGAAAUAUUUUGAGCCAAGAAAAAACCAAAAUUUAAUUUGAGAAAAUAAUUGCAAAAAUAAAUAAUGCUUUUAGGGAUUUUUUGGAAAAACAUUUUUUUAAGUUUUCAUUUUGGCCGUUGAAAAAUGCCCAUCAUUUAGAUUUUAUUUUUCUGAUAAUUUUAGUAUAUAGAAACCUUAUAUUCCGAAUUGAUUUGAUUUGCCUUUUAUCGUUUUAGUUUCCUAGUUUUGAAAAAGGAAAGAAAUCGUGUUUAAAUGGAAAUAAACGGUCGCCCAUUAAAACCUUUCCAAAAACUGGCCCAACAGGAUCUUCUUCUUCCUCUAUCUCCUUCCUCACGUGCAUAGGACCUUCCUUAGCCAUGGACAGAGAAAUCCUCACUUCCGGAAUUCGCGAAGUUCUUUCCCUCCUAGCCUCUCCCGUCGCCCCUAUAAGAAGGCCCCGGUCCUCCUCGUUCCAUUCCCGUUGGAAUCGCCGCCUCUCCCCACCUCCUCCCCCCCCCCUGUGGACCUCGGCGGAGUCGGCCACAGGAACUCGCCGGCGACCUUCCCCAUCGCCCCUGCACCCCCUCCCCACCCCACCGACUUUCCCCAUCGCCCCUGCACCUCCUCCACCACCCCACCCCGUCGCCCCCCUGCAUCCCUCCCCAUCCCCACCGAGCUCCCUGCCAGGAGUUCCCCGCCAAGACGCUAGGAGCACCGGAGCAGCCCCUGACGCCCCUCGCCCCUGCUCGACCAGGAGCUCCCAGGAGCCUCGCUGCCACUCCCUACGUCGCCCGCACCCCCCGCCGGCGACCCCACCCCGCCGGAGUUGCCCCCCCCCUCGCUGGAGUGCCUCCUCCUCGCCACUGCUUCUCUGGAGCACGAGGUAACUACCUCUCCUUUACYUUUUUUCUUUUUCUUUUUUUUCKUUUUAMUUAUACCAUUAGAUCUAGAAUCAACGCGGCAGAUUAGAAGCCCAGAUACCCUUUCGGUUUAGUUAAGAAAACCACUCAGAUUUCUAUUACAUUACUUUAGCCAAAGAGGUUUUAUUAGAUUUCGGCCGUCUGCUUAUAUGUCUCGCAGCAAACACCCCCUUAGCCAAUCAGAGAGCACCACGUGGACCCCCUGUUCACUAGUUGGAUUUUUUCUAUUUUCAGUUUAAUUCAAAAACAGAGGCAGAUUCAAUUUUCUUUUGAUCAUAACUUUUGAUCCACAACUCCAAUGGAGCUGAUUAUUUUUCCAGUAGAUCACAAUUUAUCUGUAGUUUUUAAAAACAUAUAAUUUGUCUAUGUUUGAAAUUUUCAAAUUUGAAUUAGAUCAGAUUUAGUUUAAACCUUGUUUUGCUUAUUCCAGGAGUUUAAAAAUAGCUUUUAAUUUGAUUCCUCUUGCUACUGAGCACUAGUGAUCUUAUUUAUCAGUGGUAAAAAUUUCAGAUUUAUUUGAGUAUUUUAGCUCAUUGUUUCUUGUGAAACAAUUUCUGUUUCACCUCUUUUAGGAUUAUGGUUAUUUCUUUUUUGUAAAUUGUUUUUAAAUUAUUUUCUUUCAUAUUUCAGAAACAUUAUUGUUUUGUUUAUGUUAGUUCACAGUUGUUUUUCAACAAGUUUUGAUUUUAAUUUAUUUGUUAUCAUGAAAUCAAUUCUAGUUCCUUAGUAACUUGCAAUUGGUUUCUCCACUGUUUCAAAUCCCGUUUGGAAAUACUUUCAAAUUGUUUUGUGAAAAAUACUUUAUUUUAUCUUAGUUAAAUUUAUAUCUUAGUUCCCUGUUAUUAUUUUCCGUUGAACAAAAACAAUUUAGUGUUUGAUGUAGUAGAAGACUCGCUAGUCUUAUUUGAAGUUUCCUUCGGAUUCCUAUUCGCUCUCUCUUUUGUUUUGAUUGCUAGAAUGAUUUCUAGUACGAGUGCUUAUGUGAAUGAUAUGUUUGUUAUAUAGAUUUCAUCAGAGAGUGACGAGUAGUCUAUCAAGUUAUUUCUCGAGAAAUUCUUCUUCGUCAACAUCACCACGCAAGUCACUUUGAUCGUACUAUCAACUAUGUUUUAUGCAUCAUAGUUCUACCAUCCUAUGCCCAAAUUGCAUGCUGCUUAGGUACUUUGAAAUUUUAGUAUAGGUUGUAGUAUCAUGUGGUAGGCACCCAACAACCCCGAUACUUGGCCCCGGGACGAGAAAUUUCAUAUUGCUAUGCUUGGGCAGACGGGAUUUCGGUUGAGUGCAUAACACGAGUGAUGCGAGGUUGAUUAAAUAAUCAAGACCGGUUAAGACAAGAUUUUCAAGACCUUGGACACAAUGCAACUCUGGGUGAAGGACAGUUGAUCCGCUCCCUGGAGAACCCAGUGGAUGACCCGGGAUGCUGGAGAGGCCAUGACAUCCUACAGAAAGCUUCACCCGGGCUCAAAGAGACGGAUGGGUAUUUUCAAGACUCAAGGCUUACCUGCACAGCCACAAGUCAUUAUGGGCUCUAGCUUGGUUGGACAACGCGGCGACUUUGGACAGACGGUGCUAGCAGAUGUAGAAGAAUGGUAGGAAUGGAUGGGCAUCGACAGGGAUACAGAGGGACCCGUUGAAAGACCAUGUUUUGAUCAUCCGGUCUUCAAACACCCUGAAGUGCGAGGACAUACACGGAGGCGAUCAAAUCUUGUGGGGAACGUGUGCAAAACUCUACAGAGUACUCAAACCUAAUCGAUUAGCCGUGUCCACGGUCAUGGACAACUUGAGCCAAAGGAACUGAAGUUAUCUGGAUUUCUCAACACCAUUAUAUAUAUUUGAUGAGGGUAAUUAUUGACAACUCGGGUACGAGAACUGGUUGGCGGAACCAUCUUGUUAACAACCAAGAAUGUAGUAACAUUUUGCUUUUAGCCCACUCUUGUUGUAGGAGAAAAACUUGCUUUUCGCUAAAAACUUAUAGCCCCACCUGCCAUAUAUGCAUAUAGUAUAGAUGAUUACUUUUCACCCCUCUCUUAUGUGACUUGCCGGCAUAUUCAAUAUGCUGACCUACACGGCUGCAACGUCUUAUGUUGCAGAUAUUUUUCUUCGACGAGUAAGAGUACGAUUCAGGGUUACGGUCUACACUCAACUUGCCGUUGGUGUUUAUUGGGACUCCACUCCCUUGACCGCUUCCGCUGGGAUGUUUAAGGUAUAUAUCAUUUUUACGCUAUUGUACAUGUGAUUGCACUUUGAUAUAUACAUUGAUGUACUGUGUGUGCCAGCAUACUGAUCCAGGGAUGGCACAGAAACACAGAGGCUUGACUCGUCUUGAGUCGGGUCCCUACAUCACCUUAGCUGUGCCAAGGGAACGAAAUCUGGUUGAUCGAGCGAGAGACAUUUAGCACUCCGCUUCUACUGUUCUCCUUGAUGUACUAGCACAAACCAAUUAUAGAUCAGGCUUGAUAUCUAGCACAUCAAGUAUAGGUCGGAAUUCGGGGCAUCAAAGGGAGUCCAUGAGGAAUAACUUCCAAAAUAAGUCAUACAAACCCUCACAGGGAGAUGGCUAAGAUUGUUGAUAGAAAAUAUAAUAUCAAAUCUUCCGCCUAGGUGUGUUAGCCACAACAUCACUUUACCGAGUUACAUAGAGACCAAUAUUAUAAUUCUUGGGGAAAGUUCCAACCAUUUUAACUGCCUGAGAUUCAGCUCCGGUUGGUGACACGAUGCUUCAGACUCAGCAUGUGUGAAAAGAAAGUUUGCAACACAAAUCGAUGGUAUAACGUUGCAAGAUUCUCAGGAAAUGAACUACGAAAGCCAACUCCAAAACAUGAGCUGGGUUGCAAGACACAUGUGAACACACUGCCCAAGACAAUGAUGACCACAUGAAAAGUCUUACAACAAAACACUACCGAGUUCUGGAUGGGGACCAUUAUUGCGGAUAACGAAACCAUGUGCAAGUCCGUUUGGUACCUUCAGGAAUGGCACUUAACUUCUUUUCCUUGAACAAAUCAAUCAGUGGCUUGGUGUGCUAGGAGAUACAUAUGGAGUGAUGAUGAUCAGUCUAUCAAACCAUAGAAUACUUCGCACAUGCAUGAUUGACUUGGGAUGAUUCCCAAGAAACAAAUUAACUUUUCUCGAAUUCACGGCAGCAACUUGCAUCAGAUGCACAUGAAUUAUGGGAAGUCACUUCUUACACCUAACAUAUACCUCGUGCUCGAGACACGAAGAUAAUGUCUACAAAGUUUCCAGGACUAGUUAAUGUCCAACAUAGAUCAUGGAACAAAUGAGAAUGUUGCCCAUGGGCUCAACAACAAUUCAUCAAGAUACCCAUAUAAAUGGAUUUCCACAACUAUGUGAGCAAGAUAAUAGCAUUGGUGAGAUCAAAGAAUACAAUAGUGUAGGCUCAAGGAAAACCCUGAGUACGAGUACGAAAAUCUUUGGUUCUGAGUUUGAUUUGACAAUAGCCCAUACUCAAAUCAAGGUUGGACAAGAUAAUAUAUGCAACAAUUGAUCACACGGAUCCACCGAUGACAAUAUAAUCUUUCUUCAAGAGUCUCACAACAGGAAAGAUAUCCCUUUAAAAUGAACUAAGUUUAGGCGAAGCUUUUAUCUUCCAACUCUCCAAGUUGUUGUUUAGCUUAACCAACUAGAUCGGGGUAUCCAACACGGAUUCUUGGAGAAAAUGGCUUAUAGAGAAACCAACUUGAUCACGAGCUCUUAUCAUAACACUCAGGAAACAACCUGGAAAUACUUCCGAGAAGAUAUUCGGAAAAUCACGAACCACCGAUAUAUUAUUAAGCUCGGGAAACAAUCUCGCUUUUCAAGGCAAGAUGAUGUGAUCAAUAGAGCAAGGGAUUGACACAAUCCGAUCCCAUCGAUUGAAAAGUGCACCAUGAAAUAUGGACUAGGUAGCACGGUCAAUCUUAGAAUGACGAUUCAAUCAUCAUCACCAUAAGAGUGAAUUUAUUAUCCAUUAGCUACCAAGCAAUAACGUUGCUAGGAGUAUUGAUUUCACACAUCAUGGUUCACUUGUCGAUAUUACAGUUACAACCAACACGGAAACCGAGGGAUGAAUAAUAAUAGCGAGAAGUAUCACUACAUGAAGAGCUCAUAAGAGAUGGUGCAAUUCGCACGACAUUCUUGACAAGAAGAGGGUAAUACUCCAAGAUAGGACAGAACAAAAGCUGGUUAGCAUUUCGAUCUGUGGAAUACAACUACUCUGACCCAAUCCAAGAAAUGGAUGAGGUACUGGAGUUUACUUCUCCCAGUCAUUCGAGAAUAGAACAACUUGACAAACCACGAAAUAGAAGACAUCGUUGACACGAAUGUACAACUACUUUUGACUAACCUCUCAAUGAUGAAGGUCAAAAUACAACUAGAUAGGGCCACCUCAAGAGCACAUGGUUUCUUGAGUUGUGGAUGCAUGGAUUAGCAUGUCGAACGGGUUCAACAUAAUUCUUCCAGAUAACCCAUGCAGAAGGGCGGAGUAGGAAGAAUCACAAUAUGGAGUAGAGAACUCAUCACGAGCACUCUUGUUAUGAUCUUUAGUUCACGGAGAACUUUUGCCAAAGAUGAUUCAUGGUGUUGGAAAAAUGAUAUACCAUGAACCUUGGGAGCUACAACAGGGUUACUAAUCAUUCUAAAGGAACUAGCAACACUAUCAACAGAGAUGAGCAGAAUGAUCCUUGGAUUCGAUGACCCAGAAAUAGAAUACCUAAAAACGAAAUAACAUCACGAGAUGUUUUUGAAAAUGAUGGCCAGAACUAUCACACUGGAAGACAUAGCACCCAUCUAGACUAUUGGGUAGUUUUCGGAGUAACAUGGUUUCCUAAUACUUCAAAAAAAACAUCGAGGUAAUGGAGUACCUCAACACAGUGAUUAGUGUGCUUUGUCUGGCCAAAAGACAUUAGAAAUAAGAGGAAGGAAGUUGCAAUUGCAACAGAUUAUUUAGAAACUUUGGAAAAGUCGGACAACAUAACGGCUGUGCGGGCAUGAAAUAUGAGGCACCCUGCAAGAAAACGAACAACAUAACAAUUGAAUUCUUAUGGAGACACUGAUCCAGGAAGAAAACAACUUUUCUAUAAGUCUCCAACAUAGUAACUCGUCAUCCUAAUGAAUACAUGAGAAAUCCUAACUAUUAAACCCCGUAGAAUAAAGAAGAGGAUGACUCAGAAUAAGAAUGACACAAGGAAAGGAGUAAAAGAGCCUUACGUUACCUUCCACAAACAAUUACCUUAUAUAACUAAAGAGUUGCUAGACUCAACAUCGACCAGUUUGGCUUGCUUAUCCUACAUGCAGUCAAUCUCUGAUACCAAAGUUGUCGGGAGCCCGAUCCUGAGUCAUAAGAACCCAACCUGUAACACAUCACAUCACUUUGCGGCCUCACGCACGGCAAACUCCACGGCUGCCACCUUACCUUGGCCCGGACCGUUUACAUCUUUUGGCUCACGUAUAUGAAUAUGUUGCUAGCGUUCAAACGACAAAGAACCUAGGUCGACAUGACUAGUUAUAAACCCAAGCGGUACAUCUGUACAGGGACAGACAUACAUAACCCAGCAAAGCAGGUGUCGAUCAACAACGUGUGUAGACGAGUCGUAGCAAGCUACAAGGACUCCAUUACACCGCGUGACAUUUCCCCGAGGGGACAGACACAACAGCAAAGAAGGAUACACGCCGGUCAAUCAAUGUGUCUAGAGCAGUAGAAAGCUACCAAGGCUCGAUAGAAGCACAAAGAGGCAUUUCCCUGUAAAGAGUACUACUAAAGGCACACAACUAGGUGUCGAAUCCCACACAUAUAAUGCAUUUCAUAACAUACACACAAUAUGCACGAUAUGUGUAGAUGCAACAUGGCAUCACAACAUAACUCUACGACUCAAGCUUUUAUUAAGGACUCAUAAGAAUCAACAUAGUGUGUUAUUACAAAAAGGGGUCCCGUAACCCGACACUCAAGUCAUACAAACAACAAGCAGAAGCAAAACAUGUCUGGGUACAGACAUCUACUAAAAAUUGUUGGAAGAGCCUGAAAAGCUACUACGACCCUACCAAAGGAGCCAGACCUUUGUCUGGGAUUCCCAAGCUAUUCCGGUCAACGUCGAACACAUCGCUUAGAACCUUAUAAUGAGUCUAAAACUUCUCUGCAAAAACAUAAAUAAAGCAACAGUGAGUACAAAGGUAAUCAGCAAGACUUACAUCAGAACUAUCUACAUAUGCAUCAUGUUUCAAUGGAAGGAUUGUGUGGUUUGAUUUCAGCAAGCCAGCUUUGACCCUUGGCUAGCCUGUACUACGACUAAAAGUUCUUUUUUUGAGGUGGGAUAGCGCACACGAGUCCACAUAUUCAUCAAUCAAAACACCACUAUGGAUUCACUCUCGUCUCCCUACGAUAAAGCCUUCCAUAGCACUCACACUUAUCUUGCAUGUUUUAGAGUAUCCAUUUAAAUUGUCUAUGUACCACGUAAUGCUUCCAAGUAGUCCAUAUCCGAGGACGUGGCUAUUCGAACAGAUUAAAUCACCCUACAUGGGUAUACUUCUUCACGCACGUUCCGACCACUUAUCACCAUGUGCAAGUCAUGCAUCUCGGCAACCUUCAAGCGGAAGCACUGGCGUGGGUGUCGGCCAUGACCGUUAACCACACAAGACCCUAGUCAAGGUUUAUCGCCUAUUUGUGACUGAACCCGCAAGGAAGUCCGGCCGAGGUUUCCUCUACGGCCCCAAACGAUGUGCGCAGUGUUCCCAAGCCCACCAUCCGGGUGCCACUUGAUACACCGUGCCACUUUGUAUCUACCGUAGAGAAGCCCACCCCGUCGGGCCGAGCUAAACACGGCCGCCAACACUUUUCCUACAAACAGCAGAAACUAGUUGCAACUCCUGGACAGAGAUCUAGGCGAUUAAUAACCCAAGAGGGUCAAUUAAGUAUCCCAAUUUGUGGUAGUAUCUUGUCUUGGAUAACAUACACAUAACUCAGUUCUUAAGGACGGUCCCAAUGAGACAACCCACCAUGUACUCCUAUAUGGCCUCUCAUCGCUACCUUUACCAAAUCGGAUUCACACUUUUACUCUCCCACUAUAGGACAUGAACACAACCAUUCUGAUUCAUCAUCCAGAUAGGUCAGACCCGACACGACUCUAAGCAUAGCAGGCAUUGUAAACAAGCAUGGAUGAGUAAGCACAACAAGACUCAAGCAGUUGCUACUCAUGUUAAGUGGUUUCAACUAUUUACUGUGACAAAAUCAGGUCAUGCAGAGGAAUGGGUUCAACUACCGAUAACAUGUACAAUUGAAUCGUGUUUGUCCUAAUGCAGUAAAAGAGAGAAGGAGCGAGAGAGAGGGUUUAUAUCAAUAUGCUCAAGGGGGUUUGCUUGCCUGACAUGUGUGAAGAUAGCAAUGAGUCUUCAUCAAUGUCAACGAUCACAUCGUCGGAAACAUCGUCUACUGAGAGGGAACAACACCGGCAAACAAGAAAGAACAACAAUUACUUCACGGAAAUGCAACACUAUGAUGCAUGCUCAAGACAUGAAAUUAAAGGUGGCAGGGCUAAUCUAUCAUUUCUUAAGUUGAAGUUGGAUUUGAAUUUGAAUUCAAAUAUCACUUCAAGCAAGGAAUUUUCCGGAUACCCUUUUAAUUGAUUUGACCUGAUGCUCAGGUACAACUUGUUUUUUUAACAUGCAUGAAGAUGGUAUUUUGAGGUAUUGAUUUUCCUUGAUCAAUGUUUGGUCAUAUCAAUUGAAGUGGAAUUCAAAUAGGUAUCAAAUUCCAACUCCAAACUAAUUAUUAAAUUUAUCCUAUUCACCAUUUGGCCUAUUUGGUGAUUUUAACUUUUUCGAACAUGCAUGAAAAUACCAUAAUCAGAUUCUUUGGUUUUUUCUGAUCAUUUUUCAUAGAUAAAUUAUUUUCAUUGGACUUACAAAUUAUUUUCUAUGAUUUUUAGAAGUUUUAGGCAUUUUCUGGAAUUAUUUUAUAAUAGAAAAUCAAUUACUGCGUCAGCACUGCGUCAGCACUGCGUCCGCAUUGCGUCAGCAGUCAACUGUCCUGGGUCAGGUCAAACCUAACAUGUGGGGUCCACACAUGAGUGACACAGUUAAAUUAAGAGAGUUAGGUUAAUCUUAAUUCUUAUUUUAGAGCUAUAGGGCCCACUGUCAGUGAGUCAUUGUUUAACUAAAUAGUUAUUAGGCGCUAAUUAAACACCUGACCGGCUGGGCCCACAUGGGAGUGGCUCAGGCCGAUGAGGUCGACGCCGGCGACCAACAGAGUGACGGGGGCUCACCGGAAUUCCUCGAUCUCGUGCUAUAGGCUUCGGAUUUGCACGCGGUUGAGUUCUACGGAUAGCUGAUGAAGCGCAACAUCCAUUCCAACCCAGCCAGGAGGUGGCUGGAAUGAGGCCGGCGACGACCUCGGGCGGUGGCUGGAGUCGGCCAUGGUAGGGCUAGUGCUAGAGGGCAGGAACGGAAGGGGAGAGCACAGGAGGAGGAGCAGGAGCUCACGGCGGUUCCAAAGGAGGCAACAGUGACGGAGGAGGAGCUCGGGGCAUGGCGAAUCGACCUCGAGGUUGCCGGCGGCCGGAGAUGGGGAGGGAGCUCGCGCUCGUCGUCUCUGGGCCCUGCGGUCCGAUUCCUUCGGCGGUGAGGUUGAGGGCGAUGCAGCUGAGCUACCGGGGAUCUUUGGAGGACUUCGGGUGGUUGGAGGUGUCGGUGAGCUCGAGCCGAGGUCGGCCAUGGCGAGAGGAAAAAGUKCAGAGGGGGAGAGAUAAGGGAGAGAGAGAGGGAGGGGCUCGGGGGAGGACGAAAAGAGAGGCACGGGGGGGGGGGGGUGGGGUUGCUAGCGCGGAGAAGGCGAGGAGAGGCUGCCACGACGAGCAGGAGGUGGCAAGGUGAG
rnacentral:lncRNA from 1 species